UUCGGAGGAGUUAGCGAAAUUCCAAUGUGUGCGGAUCGGCAAAAAAUGCGAAAUAACCCUUUAACCGUAAUUUUGACAGAUACGGCCGCACUGACUUUUUUGUAGAUCUUAUUGAGAUACAUAUGUGUGUCAAUUUUUGUGUCAAUAUGACAAAGCGUACAGGCGUGACAGUCAAUAGUGUGAAUUUCCACCUUAGGGGGCGCUAUGGAGCCAUUUUGCAUUUUAUUGUUUGGGCGACUUCAGAAUAUCGAAUUUUUCACCAGGCCCGGUCGUCCUGCCAAAUUUCAUGAGUUUUCGCCAGUGGGAAGUGGGCCAUUUUCCAGUUCAAAGGGGAGGAAAAAGAAGAAACUAGGACCCCGUUGGGGCACUGGCGGGCCCGAGCCGUGUCGCGUCCCCCCAACGUGCUGCCUCCCCGUCCCAUUUGUGUCCUCUGGCCAUCGCCCUCUCUGGUAACGCCCAUCACUGCAAAGACCCUUUUCCUUCAUCGGCGUUUGCUGUUCUUCCUGCCAGUGCGUGUUGCUUUCACUUACACUUGCCACAGCCAGCCUCGUGAGUGCCUAGCCUAUUGGAUAUCACUGUCACCUACACAGGACAGUCAUUACCUUUCUAUUAAUACUUUGUGUUUUAAUUUCACAUUAAUUUCCAUAUUGUAUAAACGACUGGAAAAAACUUGAGCCCCUGCCCCUGUAUAAUCAUGUGCAUGUCUCUGUUCUAGCUCCAAGGUGAAUCUUCACUGCUCAUGUUCUCCUCAGAAGCACUCACCUCACUCCCCUCAGGUUACUGUACACAUGCACCAACUGCCUGCUUCAGGUUUGGAUGGAGCUUCAUGGUUGUCUUUUGGAGAAAUGACCAGUCAAGUUGUGUUUGAAAUUUGAUUUUUUUCAGGGGCAAAAGGAGCCUCUGCAUUCUUGUCAAAUAUGUAAAUAGCAUGUUUUUGCAGGUGCUAAAAACCAGACUCUGAGUGUGUGUGUGUGUGUGUGUGUGUGCGUGUGUGUGUCUGUGUGUGCGUUCAAGUCACAUGACAUAUUUAACCGGAUGUAGCUGCAAGACGGAGCCUCGUUGACUCUCCGUUUCAACUUAUCUCAAAAGUGAGGACCUCAACCUAUAUACCAGUUUUUAAAUUGUGUUGGUAGGCCAAAUAAAACCAGAGUUAUGAUAAAUUAUGUCCGCGAUACUUUUUUUCUGCUUAUUUUGAUCACGUUCGGCGCUCAAUCGCGCUGUAUGAGACAGGAAAACAUAGCAUGCAGACAUUAGCGACAGCUCUUACAGGCGGAAAAGGCUUGCCAAAAGAAAAAAAAAACACACCACAACAUCUCUCCUAUUGGUGGAAAACUUCACCACAACAACCAAUCCAAAAUUAUAUGGUGACUGAUUGACAAGGGGCGGGCGCUUACGUUCUUCCUGCAACAUGAGAAGGGAGGGAGGGACUCUCAGCAGGGAUGCAGUCUGGGACACGUAGUUGCAAACCUAGCGACUUUGUUGUUAGAUUCAAUGACUUUUCAGACCCCCUAACGACUUUUUUUUAGAAAGAAAGGGACUUUUAUCGACUUCUUCUGGAGUUUAGAGACUCUGACAUGAAGCAGGCUUUCCUUACUGAGGAGUUAGCAACGCUGCUAAGGGUGCAGAGCCACACAUGCGCUCAGAGCUCUGCAUGGGAGACUGAAGCUGACAGAGCUGCAGCAGUUAGCAGGUUUCACCCUCAGAGACCACCAGGGGUUCAUGUUGAGGCAUUUUAAUUUUUUUUUUUUUUGUGCCAUAGACACUGUCAGCACAAUCUGCAGUUACACUAACAAAAAUGCUGCAAAAAACAAAGAAUUAUGGAAAAAUUACACAUGGACUGACAUACAGGAGGAUCUACACAAGUUUUUUACAUCAUGUUUUACAUCAUGCAUCAUUUACAUCAUGUUUUUUUGUAGUGGCAUAAAUAAAAAGUGACAUUUGUGAGACUAUACAGUGUUUUGUAAAUAAUUUUACAAAGAACGCCUGGGCCAUUGCCUGCAUUUUGAUGUAAAUAGAGGUAAAUCACUAUGUUCUUUGUUAAAAAUUUGCAUAUGUUUUGAAGUUUACAAUUUUUAUUUGAAGUUUAAGUUUUAAAAACAGUUCAUCACACAUAUUUGUGGUUUAAUUUCACAUUAAUUUCCAUAUUGUAUAAACGACUGGAAAAAACUUGAGCCCCUGCCCCUGUAUAAUCAUGUGCACGUCCCUGUUCUAGCUCCAAGGUGAAUCUUCACUGCUCAUGUUCUCCUCAGAAAUAGUCACCUCACUCCCCUCAGGUUACUGUACACAUGCACCAACUAUCUGCUUCAGGUUUGAAAUGGAGCUUCAUGGUUGUCUUUUGGAGAAAUGAACAGUCAAGUUGUGUUUGAAAUUUGAUUUUUUUCAGGGGCAAAAGGAAGCCUCUGCAUUCUUGUCAAAUAUGUAAACAGCAUGUUUUUGCAGGUGCUAAAAAACAGACUCUGAGUGUGUGUGUGUGUGUGUGUGUGUGUGUGUGUGUGUGUGUGUGUGUGUGUGUGUGUGUGUGUGUGUGUGUGUGUGUGUGUAUGUUGGCGUGUGUGUAUAUGUGUGUGUAUCCUGCAGUACUCUGUACUCCUGCAGUGGCCAAAAAGACUUUUAAGAAUGUGGAUUUUUGGGUCAUCUUUGGCGCCCCCUAGAACUGCAGUACUCUGUACUCCUGCAGUGGCCAAAAUGACUUUUAAGAAUGUGGAUUUUUGGGUCAUCUUUGGCGCCCCCUAGAACGUAAACCGUGGGGUGCAGCGUCAUGAUUUUUACAACUUUGAAUGGGCAUGGGGUGUAGAUUGCCCUGAGCAAAUUUGGUAUCGGUGGGACGAAAGCCUUAGGAGGAGAUAGCCACAUUCCAAUGUGUGCGAAUCGGCAAAAAAUGCGAAAUAGCCCUUUAACCGUACAUUAUACAGAUACGCGCUCUUUGACUUUUUCGUAGAUCUAAUUGAGAUACACAUGAUUGUCAAUUUUUGUGUCAAUAUGACAAAGCGUUCAGGGCGUGACACUCAACAAUGUGUAUUUUCAUGUAAGGGGACAAGAAAAAAUUGACUUUUUUCUCCUACCAUGGGGGGCGCUCUUUUGGGGAGUAAAAAUUCCUUCACAAAUGUGUUGAUGGCUGGACAUUGCAUCAUCCUAGAAAACUUGGAGGCCAGUGAGGACAAAAAUAAAAAGUUAUAAAACAUUUAAGAAUGUGGAUUUUUGGGUUAUUUUUGGCGCCCCCUAGAACCUAAACCAUGGGGUGCAGCAUCAUGAUUUGAAUAACUUUUAAUGGCCAUGGGGUGUAGAUUGGCCUGAGCAAAUAUGGUGCCGGUGGAACGAAAGCCUUCGGAGGAGUUAGCGAAAUUCCAAUGUGUGCGUAUCGGCAAAAAAUGCGGAAUAACCCUUUAACUAUACAUUUGACAGAUACGCGCGCAUGGACUUUUUUGUAGAUCUUAUUGAGUUACAUGUGUGUGUCAAUUUUUGUGUCAUUUUGACAAAGCGUAUAGGCGUGACACUCAACAAUGUGUAUUUUCACCUUAGGGGACAAGAAAAAAUGGACUUUUUUCUCCUGCCAUGGGGGGGCGCUCUUUUGGGGAGUAAAAAUUCCUUCACAAAUGUGUUGAUGGCUGGACAUUGCAUCAUCCUAGAAAACUUGGAGGCCAGUGAGGACAAAAAUAAAAAGUUAUAAGACUUUUAAAUAUGUGGAUUUUAGUGUUAUCUUUGGCGCCCCCUAGAACCUAAACCUUGGGGUGCAGCGUCAUGAUUUUGAUAACUUUUAAUGGCCACGGGGUGUAGAUUGGCCUGAGCAAAUGUGGUGCCGGUGGAACGAAAGCCUUCGGAGGAGUUAGCGAAAUUCCAAUGUGUGCGGAUCGGAAAAAAAUGCGAAAUAACCCUUUAACCGUACAUUUGACAGAUACGGCCGCACUGACUUUUUUGUAGAUCUUAUUGAGAUACAUAUGUGUGUCAAUUUUUGUGUCAAUAUGACAAAGCGUACAGGCGUGACAGUCAAUAGUGUGAAUUUCUACCUUAGGGGGCGCUAUGGAGCCAUUUUGCAUUUUAUUGUUUGGGCGACUUCAGAAUAUCAAAUUUUUCACCAGGCCCGGUCGUCCUGCCAAAUUUCAUGAGUUUUCGCCAGUGGGAAGUGGGCCAUUUUCCAGUUCAAAGGGGAGGAAAAAGAAAAAAGAAAGAAAGAAACAAAGAAAAACCACUUGGGGAAUAAUAGGGCCUACGCCCGGCUGCUCUGCAGCUGGCUCGGGCCCUAAGAAAGAAAGAACUAGGGCCCCGUUGGGGCACUGGCGGGCCCGAGCCGUGUCACGCCGCCCCCAGCGCGACCGCCUCCCCCACCCGAUCGCGUCACACUCAAGGUCCAAAGAUGGUGUGCGCACUUGUUUGUGGUCAUUUACCAUUAUAAUGAACGGGAGGCGCAGUUUCUACCAAAACGCUCGCUGCAGAAAAACUCCAUGUCCUAUUUGAAAAAAGUCUGGACCAUGAGUGAGGGCACAAACACAGCUAAGAUAUAUCCAAAUGGCAAGUUGCUCCUCCUUUCGCUUUUGCCGAGAGAGCAGUGCGUUUGAGCCAUUGAAUGAUGAACAGGAAAAACUUGACUUUAUUCUCCUGCCAUGGGGGGGCGCUCUUUUAAAGAGAAAAAACUCCUUCACAAAUGUGUUGAUGGCUGGACAUUGCAUCAUCCUAGAAAACAUGGAGGCCAGUGAGGACAAAAAUAAAAAGUUAUAAGACUUUUAAAUAUGUGGAUUUUAGGGUUAUAUUUGGCGCCCCCUAGAACCUAAACCGUGGGGUGCAGCGUCAUGAUUUGAAUAACUUUUAAUGGCCAUGGGGUGUAGAUUGGCCUGAGCAAAUGUGGUGCCGGUGGAACGAAAGCCUUCGGAGGAAUUAGCGAAAUUCCAAUGUGUGCGAAUCUGCAAAAAAUGCGAAAUAACCCUUUAACCGUACAUUUUACAGAUACGUGGCCAUUGACUUUUUCGAAGAUCUUAUUGAAAUACACGUGUAUGUAAAAUUUUGUGUCAAUACGAAAAAACAUACAGGCGUAGCACUCAACAAUGUGUAUUUUCACCUUAGUGGACAAGAAAAAAUUGACUUUCUUCUCCUGCCAUGGGGGGCGCUCUUUUGGCGAGUAAAAAUUCCUUCACAAAUGUGUUGAUGGCUGGACAUUGCAUCAUCCUAGAAAACUUGGAGGCCAGUGGGGACAAAAAUAAAAAGUUAUAAGACUUUUAAAUAUGUGGAUUUUACGGUUAUCUUUGGCUCCCCCUAGAACCUAAACCGUGGGGUGCAGCGUCAUGAUUUGAAUAACUUUUAAUGGCCAUGGGGUGUAGAUUGGCCUGAGCAAAUGUGGUGCCGGUGGAACGAAAGCCUUCGGAGGAGUUAGCGAAAUUCCAAUGUGUGCGGAUCGGCAAAAAAUGCGGAAUAACCCUUUAACCGUACAUUUGACAGAUACCCGCGCAUUGACUUUUUCGUAGAUCUUAUUGAGAUACAUGUGUGUGUCAAUUUUUGUGUCAUUUUGCCAAAGCGUACAGGUGUUACACUCAACAAUGUGUAUUUUCACCUUAGGGGACAAGAAAAAAUGGACUUUUUUCUCCUGCCAUGGGGGGGCGCUCUUUUGGGGAGUAAAAAUUCCUUCACAAAUGUGUUGAUGGCUGGACAUUGCAUCAUCCUAGAAAACUUGGAGGCCAGUGAGGGCAAAAAUAAAAAGUUAUAAGACUUUUAAAUAUGUGGAUCUUAGGGUUAUCUUUGGCGCCCCCUAGAACCUAAACCGUGGGGUGCAGCGUCAUGAUUUGAAUAACUUUUAAUGGCCAUGGGGUGUAGAUUGGCCUGAGCAAAUGUGGUGCCGGUGGAACGAAAGCCUUCGGAGGAGUUAGCGAAAUUCCAAUGUGUGCGGAUCGGCAAAAAAUGCGAAAUAACCCUUUAACCGUACAUUUGACAGAUACGCCCGCACUGACUUUUUUGUAGAUCUUAUUAAGAUACAUGUGUGUGUCAAUUUUUGUGUCAUUUUGACAAAGCGUACAGGCGUGACAGUGAAUAGUGUGAAUUUUCACCUUAGGGGGCGCUAUGGAGCCAUUUUGCAUUUUCUUGUUUGGGCGACUUCGGAAUAUCAAAUUUUUCACCAGGCCCGGUCGUCCUGCCAAAUUUCAUGAGUUUUCGCCAGUGGGAAGUGGGCCAUUUUCCAGUUCAAAGGGGAGGAAAAAUAAUAACUAGGGCCCCGUUGGGGCACUGGCGGGCCCGAGCUGUGUCGCGCCGCCCCCAACACGACCGCGUCACACUCAAGGUCCAAAGAUGGUGUUCGCACUUGUCUGUGGUCAUUUACCAUUAUAAUGAAUGGGAGGCGCAGUUUCUACCAAAACGCUCGCUGCAGACAAACUACAUGUCCUAUUUGAAAAAAGUCUGGACCAUGAGUGAGGGCACAAACACAGCUAGGAUAUAUCCAAAUGGCAGGUUGCUCCUCCUUACGGUGUUGCCUGGAGAGCGAUGCGAUUGAGCCAUUGAGCGAUGGGCAGGAAAAACUUGACUUUUUCUCCGGCCAUGGGGGGCGCUGUUUUGGGGAGUAAAAAUUCCUUCACAAAUGUGUUGAUGGCUAGACAUUGCAUCAUCCUAGAAAACUUGGAGGCCAGUGAGGACAAAAAUAAAAAGUUCUAAGACUUUUAAGAAUGUGGAUUUUUGGGUCCUCUUUGGCGCCCCCUAGAACGUAAACCAUGGGGUGCAGCGUCAUGAUUUUUACAACUUUUAAUGGCCAUGGGGUGUAGAUUGCUCUGAGCAAAUUUGUUGUCAGUGGGACGAAAUCCUUAGGAGGAGUCAGCCACAUUCCAAUGUGUGCGAAUCAGCAAAAAAUGCAAAAUAGCCCUUUAGCCGUACAGUUUACAGAUACGCGUGCAUUGACUUUUUCGUAGAUCUUAUUGAGAUACACGUGUGUGUCAAAUUUUUUGUCAAUAUGACAAAGCGUACAGGCGUGAAUCUCAACAAUGUGUAUUUUCACCUUAGGGGACAAGAAAAAAUUGACUUUUUUUUCCUGCCAUGGGGGGGCGCUCUUUUGGGGAGUAAAAAUUCCUUCACAAAUGUGUUGAUGGCUGGACAUUGCAUCAUCCUAGAAAACUUGGAGGCCAGUGAGGACAAAAAAAAAAAGUUAUAAAACUUUUAAGAAUGUGGAUUUUUGGGUUAUUUUUGGCGCCCCCUAGAACCUAAACCGUGGGGUGCAGCGUCAUGAUUUGUACAACUUUGAAUGGCCAUGGAGUGUAGAUUGGCCUGAGCAAAUGUGGUGCCGGUGGAACGAAAGCCUUCGGAGGAGUUAGCGAAAUUCCAAUGUGUGCAGAUCGGAAAAAAUGCGCAAUAACCCUUUAACCGUACAUUUGACAGAUACGCCCGCACUGACUUUUUUGUAGAUCUUAUUGAGAUACAUGUGUGUGUCAAUUUUUGUGUCAAUAUGACAAAGCGUACAGGCGUGACAGUCAAUAGUGUGAAUUUUCACCUUAGGGGGCGCUAUGGAGCCAUUUUGCAUUUUAUUGUUUGGGCGACUUCAGAAUAUCGAAUUUUUCACCAGGCCCGGUCGUCCUGCCAAAUUUCCUGAGUUUUCGCCAGUGGGAAGUGGGCCAUUUUCCAGUUUAAAGCGGAGGAAAAAUAAUAAUAACUAGGACCCCGUUGGGGCACUGGCGGGCCCGAGCCGUGUCGCGUCCCCCCCCAACGUGCUGCCUCCCCGUCCCAUUUGUGUCCUCUGGCCAUCGCCCUCUCUGGUAACGCCCAUCACUGCAAAGACCCUUUUCCUUCAUCGGCGUUUGCUGUUCUUCCUGCCAGUGCGUGUUGCUUUCACUUACACUUGCCACAGCCAGCCUCGUGAGUGCCUAGCCUAUUGGAUAUCACUGUCACCUACACAGGACAGUCAUUACCUUUCUAUUAAUACUUUGUGUUUUAAUUUCACAUUAAUUUCCAUAUUGUAUAAACGACUGGAAAAAACUUGAGCCCCUGCCCCUGUAUAAUCAUGUGCAUGUCUCUGUUCUAGCUCCAAGGUGAAUCUUCACUGCUCAUGUUCUCCUCAGAAGCACUCACCUCACUCCCCUCAGGUUACUGUACACAUGCACCAACUGCCUGCUUCAGGUUUGGAUGGAGCUUCAUGGUUGUCUUUUGGAGAAAUGACCAGUCAAGUUGUGUUUGAAAUUUGAUUUUUUUCAGGGGCAAAAGGAGCCUCUGCAUUCUUGUCAAAUAUGUAAAUAGCAUGUUUUUGCAGGUGCUAAAAACCAGACUCUGAGUGUGUGUGUGUGUGUGUGUGUGUGCGUGUGUGUGUCUGUGUGUGCGUUCAAGUCACAUGACAUAUUUAACCGGAUGUAGCUGCAAGACGGAGCCUCGUUGACUCUCCGUUUCAACUUAUCUCAAAAGUGAGGACCUCAACCUAUAUACCAGUUUUUAAAUUGUGUUGGUAGGCCAAAUAAAACCAGAGUUAUGAUAAAUUAUGUCCGCGAUACUUUUUUUCUGCUUAUUUUGAUCACGUUCGGCGCUCAAUCGCGCUGUAUGAGACAGGAAAACAUAGCAUGCAGACAUUAGCGACAGCUCUUACAGGCGGAAAAGGCUUGCCAAAAGAAAAAAAAAACACACCACAACAUCUCUCCUAUUGGUGGAAAACUUCACCACAACAACCAAUCCAAAAUUAUAUGGUGACUGAUUGACAAGGGGCGGGCGCUUACGUUCUUCCUGCAACAUGAGAAGGGAGGGAGGGACUCUCAGCAGGGAUGCAGUCUGGGACACGUAGUUGCAAACCUAGCGACUUUGUUGUUAGAUUCAAUGACUUUUCAGACCCCCUAACGACUUUUUUUUAGAAAGAAAGGGACUUUUAUCGACUUCUUCUGGAGUUUAGAGACUCUGACAUGAAGCAGGCUUUCCUUACUGAGGAGUUAGCAACGCUGCUAAGGGUGCAGAGCCACACAUGCGCUCAGAGCUCUGCAUGGGAGACUGAAGCUGACAGAGCUGCAGCAGUUAGCAGGUUUCACCCUCAGAGACCACCAGGGGUUCAUGUUGAGGCAUUUUAAUUUUUUUUUUUUUUGUGCCAUAGACACUGUCAGCACAAUCUGCAGUUACACUAACAAAAAUGCUGCAAAAAACAAAGAAUUAUGGAAAAAUUACACAUGGACUGACAUACAGGAGGAUCUACACAAGUUUUUUACAUCAUGUUUUACAUCAUGCAUCAUUUACAUCAUGUUUUUUUGUAGUGGCAUAAAUAAAAAGUGACAUUUGUGAGACUAUACAGUGUUUUGUAAAUAAUUUUACAAAGAACGCCUGGGCCAUUGCCUGCAUUUUGAUGUAAAUAGAGGUAAAUCACUAUGUUCUUUGUUAAAAAUUUGCAUAUGUUUUGAAGUUUACAAUUUUUAUUUGAAGUUUAAGUUUUAAAAACAGUUCAUCACACAUAUUUGUGGUUUAAUUUCACAUUAAUUUCCAUAUUGUAUAAACGACUGGAAAAAACUUGAGCCCCUGCCCCUGUAUAAUCAUGUGCACGUCCCUGUUCUAGCUCCAAGGUGAAUCUUCACUGCUCAUGUUCUCCUCAGAAAUAGUCACCUCACUCCCCUCAGGUUACUGUACACAUGCACCAACUAUCUGCUUCAGGUUUGAAAUGGAGCUUCAUGGUUGUCUUUUGGAGAAAUGAACAGUCAAGUUGUGUUUGAAAUUUGAUUUUUUUCAGGGGCAAAAGGAAGCCUCUGCAUUCUUGUCAAAUAUGUAAACAGCAUGUUUUUGCAGGUGCUAAAAAACAGACUCUGAGUGUGUGUGUGUGUGUGUGUGUGUGUGUGUGUGUGUGUGUGUGUGUGUGUGUGUGUGUGUGUGUGUGUGUGUAUGUGGGAGUGUGUGUAUAUGUGUGUGUAUCCUGCAGUACUCUGUACUCCAGCAGUGGCCAAAAAGACUUUUAAGAAUGUGGAUUUUUGGGUCAUCUUUGGCGCCCCCUAGAACUGCAGUACUCUGUACUCCUGCAGUGGCCAAAAUGACUUUUAAGAAUGUGGAUUUUUGGGUCAUCUUUGGCGCCCCCUAGAACGUAAACCGUGGGGUGCAGCGUCAUGAUUUUUACAACUUUGAAUGGGCAUGGGGUGUAGAUUGCCCUGAGCAAAUUUGGUAUCGGUGGGACGAAAGCCUUAGGAGGAGAUAGCCACAUUCCAAUGUGUGCGAAUCGGCAAAAAAUGCAAAAUAGCCCUUUAACCGUACAUUAUACAGAUACGCGCUCUUUGACUUUUUCGUAGAUCUAAUUGAGAUACACAUGAUUGUCAAUUUUUGUGUCAAUAUGACAAAGCGUUCAGGCGUGACACUCAACAAUGUGUAUUUUCAUGUAAGGGGACAAGAAAAAAUUGACUUUUUUCUCCUACCAUGGGGGGGCGCUCUUUUGGGGAGUAAAAAUUCCUUCACAAAUGUGUUGAUGGCUGGACAUUGCAUCAUCCUAGAAAACUUGGAGGCCAGUGAGGACAAAAAUAAAAAGUUAUAAAACAUUUAAGAAUGUGGAUUUUUGGGUUAUUUUUGGCGCCCCCUAGAACCUAAACCAUGGGGUGCAGCAUCAUGAUUUGAAUAACUUUUAAUGGCCAUGGGGUGUAGAUUGGCCUGAGCAAAUAUGGUGCCGGUGGAACGAAAGCCUUCGGAGGAGUUAGCGAAAUUCCAAUGUGUGCGUAUCGGCAAAAAAUGCGGAAUAACCCUUUAACUAUACAUUUGACAGAUACGCGCGCAUGGACUUUUUUGUAGAUCUUAUUGAGUUACAUGUGUGUGUCAAUUUUUGUGUCAUUUUGACAAAGCGUAUAGGCGUGACACUCAACAAUGUGUAUUUUCACCUUAGGGGACAAGAAAAAAUGGACUUUUUUCUCCUGCCAUGGGGGGGCGCUCUUUUGGGGAGUAAAAAUUCCUUCACAAAUGUGUUGAUGGCUGGACAUUGCAUCAUCCUAGAAAACUUGGAGGCCAGUGAGGACAAAAAUAAAAAGAUAUAAGACUUUUAAAUAUGUGGAUUUUAGUGUUAUCUUUGGCGCCCCCUAGAACCUAAACCUUGGGGUGCAGCGUCAUGAUUUUGAUAACUUUUAAUGGCCACGGGGUGUAGAUUGGCCUGAGCAAAUGUGGUGCCGGUGGAACGAAAGCCUUCGGAGGAGUUAGCGAAAUUCCAAUGUGUGCGGAUCGGAAAAAAAUGCGAAAUAACCCUUUAACCGUACAUUUGACAGAUACGGCCGCACUGACUUUUUUGUAGAUCUUAUUGAGAUACAUAUGUGUGUCAAUUUUUGUGUCAAUAUGACAAAGCGUACAGGCGUGACAGUCAAUAGUGUGAAUUUCUACCUUAGGGGGCGCUAUGGAGCCAUUUUGCAUUUUAUUGUUUGGGCGACUUCAGAAUAUCAAAUUUUUCACCAGGCCCGGUCGUCCUGCCAAAUUUCAUGAGUUUUCGCCAGUGGGAAGUGGGCCAUUUUCCAGUUCAAAGGGGAGGAAAAAGAAAAAAGAAAGAAAGAAACAAAGAAAAACCACUUGGGGAAUAAUAGGGCCUACGCCCGGCUGCUCUGCAGCUGGCUCGGGCCCUAAUAAUAAUAAUAACAAAAGAAGGAAACUACAGGAACAAGAGGGCUCUCGCAGCUGCUUAGCAGCUACGCUCGGGCCCUAACUAGGGCCCCGUUGGGGCACUGGCGGGCCCGAGCCGUGUCGCACCCCCCCCCCCCCAACGCGCUGCCUCCCCGUCCCAUUCGUGUCCUCUGGCCAUCGCCCUCUCUGGUAACGCCCAUCACAGCAAAGACCCUUUUCCUUCAUCGGCGUUUGCUGUUCUUCCUGCCAGUGCGUGUUGCUUUCACUUACACUUGCCACAGCCAGCCUCGUGAGUGCCUAGCAUAUUGGAUAUCACUGUCACCUACACAGGACAGUCAUACUUUGUUUUUUAAUUUCACAUUAAUUUCCAUAUUGUAUAAACGACUGGAAAAAACUUGAGCCCCUGCCCCUGUAUUAUCAUGUGCACGUCCCUGUUCUAGCUCCAAGGUGAAUCUUCACUGCUCAUGUUCUCCUCAGAAGCAGUCACCUCACUCCCCUCAGGUUACUGUACACAUGCACCAACUGCCUGCUUCAGGUUUGGAUGGAGCUUCAUGGUUGUCUUUUGGAGAAAUGAGCAGUCAAGUUGUGUUUGAAAUUUGAUUUUUUUCAGGGGCAAAAGGAAGCCUCUGCAUUCUUGUCAAAUAUGUAAAUAGCAUGUUUUUGCAGGUGCUAAAAAACAGACUCUGAGUGUGUGUGUGUGUGUGUGUGCGUGUGUGUGUGUGUGUCUGUGUGUGUGUGUGUGUGUGUGUAUCCUGCAGUACUCUGAGAAGAAUAAUAAGCAUAUUUCUGAGGUGAAUUUUGAAGAUUCAUCUGAGAGUUAGGUUUGAUUCGAUUCGAUUGACGCUCCCCAGCGUUCAAGUCACAUGACAUAUUUAACCGGAUGUAGUUGCAAGACGGAGCCUCGUUAACUCUCCGUUUCAACUUAUCUCAAAAGUGAGGACCUCAACCUAUAUACCAGUUUUUAAAUUGUGUUGAUAGGCCAAAUAAAACCAGAGUUAUGAUAAAUUAUGUCCGCAAUACUUUUUUUCUGCUUAUUUUGAUCACGUUCGGCGCUCGAUCGCGCUGUAUGAGACAGGAAAACAUAGCAUGCAGACAUUAGCGACAGGUCUUACAGGCGGAAAAGGCUUGCCAAAAGAAAAAAAAAACACACCACAACAUCUCUCCUAUUGGUGGAAAACUUCACCACAACAACCAAUCCAAAAUUAUAUGGUGACUGAAUGACAAGGUGCGGGCGCUUACGUUCUUCCUGCAACAUGAGAAGGGAGGGAGGGACUCUCAGCAGGGAUGCAGUCUGGGACACGUAGUUGCAAACCUAGCGACUUUGUUGUUAGAUUCAAUUACUUUUCAGACCCCCUAACGACUUUUUUUAGAAAGAAAGGGACUUUUAUCGACUUCUUCUGGAGUUUAGAGACUCUGACAUGAAGCAGGCUUUCCUUACUGAGGAGUUAGCAACGCUGAUAAGGGUGCAGAGCCACACAUGCGCUCCGAGCUCUGCAUGGGAGACUGAAGCUGACAGAGCUGCAGCAGUUAGCAGGUUUCACCCUCAGAGACCACCAGGGGUUCAUGUUGAGGCAUUUUCAGUUUUUGUUUUUUUUGCCAUAGACUGUCAGCACAAUCUGCAGUUACACUAACAAAAAUGCUGCAAAAAACAAAGAAUUAUGGAAAAAUUACACAUGGACUGACAUAGAGGAGGAUCUACACAAGUUUUUUACAUCAUGUUUUACAUCAUGCAUCAUUUACAUCAUGUUUUUUUGUAGUGGCAUAAAUAAAAAGUGACAUUUGUGAGACUAUACAGUGUUUUGUAAAUAAUUUUACAAAGAACGCCUGGGCCAUUGCCUGCAUUUUGAUGUAAAUAGAGGUAAAUUACUAUGUUCUUUGUUAAAAAUUUGCAUAUGUUUUGAAGUUUACAAUUUUUAUUUGAAGUUUAAGUUUUAAAAACAGUUCAUCACACAUAUUUGUGGUUUAAUUUCACAUUAAUUUCCAUAUUGUAUAAAUGACUGGAAAAAACUUGAGCCCCUGCCCCUGUAUAAUCAUGUGCACGUCCCUGUUCUAGCUCCAAGGUGAAUCUUCACUGCUCAUGUUCUCCUCAGAAAUAGUCACCUCACUCCCCUCAGGUUACUGUACACAUGCACCAACUAUCUGCUUCAGGUUUGGAUGGAGCUUCAUGGUUGUCUUUUGGAGAAAUGAACAGUCAAGUUGUGUUUGAAAUCUGAUUUUUUUCAGGGGCAAAAGGAAGCCUCUGCAUUCUUGUCAAAUAUGUAAACAGCAUGUUUUUGCAGGUGCUAAAAAACAGACUCUGAGUGUGUGUGUGUGUGUGUGUGUGUGUGUGUGUGUGUAUAUGUGUGUGUAUCCUGCAGUACUCUGUACUCCUGCAGUGGCCAAAAAGACUUUUAAGAAUGUGGAUUUUUGGGUCAUCUUUGGCGCCCCUAGAACUGCAGUACUCUGUACUCCUGCAGUGGCCAAAAUGACUUUUAAGAAUGUGGAUUUUUGGGUCAUCUUUGGCGCCCCCUAGAACGUAAACCGUGGGGUGCAGCGUCAUGAUUUUUACAACUUUGAAUGGGCAUGGGGUGUAGAUUGCCCUGAGCAAAUUUGGUAUCGGUGGGACGAAAGCCUUAGGAGGAGAUAGCCACAUUCCAAUGUGUGCGAAUCGGCAAAAAAUGCGAAAUAGCCCUUUAACCGUACAUUAUACAGAUACGCGCUCUUUGACUUUUUCGUAGAUCUAAUUGAGAUACACAUGAUUGUCAAUUUUUGUGUCAAUAUGACAAAGCGUUCAGGCGUGACACUCAACAAUGUGUAUUUUCAUGUAAGGGGACAAGAAAAAAUUGACUUUUUUCUCCUGCCAUGGGGGGGCGCUCUUUUGGGGAGUAAAAAUUCCUUCACAAAUGUGUUGAUGGCUGGACAUUGCAUCAUCCUAGAAAACUUGGAGGGCAGUGAGGACAAAAAUAAAAAGUUAUAAGACUUUUAAGAAUGUGGAUUUUUGGGUUAUCUUUGGCGCCCCCUAGAACGUAAACCGUGGGGUGCAGCGUCAUGAUUUGUACAACUUUUAAUGGCCAUGGGGGGUAGAUUGGCCUGCGCAAAUGUGGUGCCGGUCGAACGAAAGCCUUCGGAGGAGUUAGCGAAAUUCCAAUGUGUGCAGAUCUGCAAAAAAUGCAAAAUAACCCAUUAACCGUACAUUUGACAGAUACGCCCGCACUGACUUUUUUGUAGAUCUUAUUGAGAUACAUGUGUGUGUCAAUUUUUGUGUCAAUAUGACAAAGCGUACAGCCGUCAUGUGAAUUUUCACCUUAGGGGGCGCUAUGGAGCCAUUUUGCAUUUUAUUGUUUGGGCGACUUCAGAAUAUCGAAUUUUUCACCAGGCCCGGUCGUCCUGCCAAAUUUCCUGAGUUUUCGCCGGUGGGAAGUGGGCCAUUUUCCAGUUUAAAGCGGAGGAAAAAUAAUAACGAAAGAAGGAAACAUGCAGGAACAAGAGGGCUCUCGCAGCUGCUUAGCAGCUACGCUCGGGCCCUAACUAGGGCCCCGGUGGGGCACUGUCGGGCCCGAGCCGCGUCGCGCCGCCCCCAGCGCGACCGCCUCCCCCUCCCGAUCGCGUCACACUCAAGGUCCAAAGAUGGUGUGCGCACUUGUCUGUGGUCAUUUAUCAUUAUAAUGAAUGGGAGGCGCAGUUUCUACCAAAACACUCACUGCAGACAAACUACAUGUCCUAUUUGAAAAAAGUCUGGACCAUGAGUGAGGGCACAAACACAGCUAGGAUAUAUCCAAAUGGCAGGUUGCUCCUCCUCCUUUUUCGUAGAUCUUAUUGAGAUACAUGUGUGUGUCAAUUUUUGUGUCAUUUUGACAAAGCGUACAGGUGUCACACUCAACAAUGUGAAUUUUCACCUUAGGGGACAAGAAAAAAAUGACUUUUUUCUCCUGCCAUGGGGGGGCGCUCUUUUGGGGAGUAAAAAUUCCUUCACAAAUGUGUUGAUGGCUGGACAUUGCAUCAUCCUAGAAAACUUGGAGGCCAGUGAGGACAAAAAUAAAAAGUUAUAAGACUUUUAAAUAUGUGGAUUUUAGGGUUAUAUUUGGCGCCCCCUAGAACCUAGACCGUGGGGUGCAGCAUCAUAAUUUGAAUAACUUUUAAUGGCCAUGGGGUGUAGAUUGGCCUGAGCAAAUGUGGUGCCGGUGGAACGAAAGCCUUCGGAGGAGUUAGCGAAAUUCCAAUGUGUGCGUAUUGGCCAAAAAAUGCGGAAUAACCCUUUAACCGUACAUUUGACAGAUACGCGCGCAUAGACUUUUUUGUAGAUCUUAUUGAGAUACAUGUGUGUGUCAAUUUUUGUGUCAUUUUGCCAAAGCAUACAGGCGUGACACUCAACAAUGUGUAUUUUCACCUUAGGGGACAAGAAAAAAUGGACUUUUUUCUCCUGCCAUGGGGGGGCGCUCUUUUGGGGAGUAAAAAUUCCUUCACAGAUGUGUUGAUGGCUGGACAUUGCAUCAUCCUAGAAAACUUGGAGGCCAGUGAGGACAAAAAUAAAAAGUUAUAAGACUUUUAAAUAUGUGGAUUUUAGGGUUAUUUUUGGCGCCCCCUAGAACCUAAACCGUGGGGUGCAGCUUCAUGAUUUGAAUAACUUUUAAUGGCCAUGGGGUGUAGAUUGGCCUGAGCAAAUGUGUUGCCGGUGGAAUGAAAGCCUUCGGAGGAGUUAGCGAAAUUCCAAUGUGUGCGGAUCGGCAAAAAAUGCGAAAUUGCCCUUUAACCGUACAUUUUACAGAUACGCGCGCAUUGACUUUUUCGUAGAUCUUAUUGAGAUACACGUGAUUGUCAAAUUUUGUGUCAAUAUGACAAAACAUACAGGCGAAGCACUCAACAAUGUGUAUUUUCACCUUAGUGGACAAGAAAAAAUUGACUUUUUUCUCCUGCCAUGGGGGGGCGCUCUUUUGGGGAGUAAAAAUUCCUUCACAAAUGUGUUGAUGGCUGGACAUUGCAUCAUCCUAGAAAACUUAGAGGCCAGUGGGGACAAAAAUAAAAAGUUAUAAGACUUUUAAAUAUGUGGAUUUUAGGGUUAUCUUUGGCGCCCCCUAGAACCUAAACCGUGGGGUGCAGCGUCAUGAUUUGAAUAACUUUUAAUGGCCAUGGGGUGUAGAUUGACCUGAGCAAAUGUUGUGCCGAUGGAACGAAAGUCUUCAGAGGAGUUAGCGAAAUUCCGAUGUGUGUGGAUCGGCAAAAAAUGCGAAAUAACCCUUUAACCGUAAUUUUGACAGAUACGCCCGCACUGACUUUUUCGUAGAUCUUAUUGAGAUACAUGUGUGUGUCAAUUUUUGUGUCAUUUUGCCAAAGCGUAAAGGCGUGACAGUCAAUAGUGUGAAUUUUCACCUUAGGGGGCGCUAUGGAGCCAUUUUGCAUUUUAUUGUUUGGGCGACUUCAGAAUAUCGAAUUUUUCACCAGGCCCGGUCGUCCUGCCAAAUUUCAUGAGUUUUCGCCAGUGGGAAGUGGGCCAUUUUCCAGUUCAAAGGGGAGGAAAAAUAAUAACUAGGACCCCGUUGGGGCACUGGCGGGCCCGAGCCGUGUCGCGUCUCUCCCCCCCCCCCCCCCCCCAACGUGCUGCCUCCCCGUCCCAUUUGUGUCCUCUGGCCAUCGCCCUCUCUGUUAACGCCCAUCACUGCAAAGACCCUUUUCCUUCAUCGGCGUUUGCUGUUCUUCCUGCCAGUGCGUGUUGCUUUCACUUACACUUGCCACAGCCAGCCUCGUGAGUGCCUAGCCUAUUGGAUAUCACUGUCACCUACACAGGACAGUCAUUACCUUUCUAUUAAUACUUUGUGUUUUAAUUUCACAUUAAUUUCCAUAUUGUAUAAACGACUGGAAAAAACUUGAGCCCCUGCCCCUGUAUAAUCAUGUGCACGUCUCUGUUCUAGCUCUAAGGUAAAUCUUCACUGCUCAUGUUCUCCUCAGAAGCACUCACCUCACUCCCCUCAGGUUACUGUACACAUGCACCAACUGCCUGCUUCAGGUUUGGAUGGAGCUUCAUGGUUGUCUUUUGGAGAAAUGACCAGUCAAGUUGUGUUUGAAAUUUGAUUUUUUUCAGGGGCAAAAGGAGCCUCUGCAUUCUUGUCACAUAUGUAAAUAGCAUGUUUUUGCAGGUGCUACAAACCAGACUCUGAGUGUGUGUGUGUGCGUGUGUGUGUGUGUCUGUGUGUGUGUGUGUGUGUGCGUUCAAGUCACAUGACAUAUUUAACCGGAUGUAGCUGCAAGACGGAGCCUCGUUGACUCUCCGUUUCAAUUUAUCUCAAAAGUGAGGACCUCAACCUAUAUACCAGUUUUUAAAUUGUGUUGAUAGGCCAAAUAAAACCAGAGUUAUGAUAAAUUAUGUCCGCGAUACUUGUUUUCUGCUUAUUUUGAUCACGUUCGGCGCUCGAUCGCGCUGUAUGAGACAGGAAAACAUAGCAUGCAGACAUUAGCGACAGGUCUUACAGGCGGAAAAGGCUUGCCAAAGGAAAAAAAAUACACACCACAACAUCUCUCCUAUUGGUGGAAAACUUCACCACAACAACCAAUCCAAAAUUAUAUGGUGACUGAUUGACAAGGGGCGGGAACUUACGUUCUUCCUGCAAUAUGAGAAGGGAGGGAGGGACUCUCAGCAGGGAUGCAGUCUGGGACACGUAGUUGCAAACCUAGCGACUUUGUUGUUAGAUUCAAUGACUUUUCAGACCCCCUAACGACUUUUUUUUAGAAAGAAAGUGACUUUUAUCGACUUCUUCUGGAGUUUAGAGACUCUGACAUGAAGCAGGCUUUCCUUACUGAGGAGUUAGCAACGCUGCUAAGGGUGCAGAGCCACACAUGCGCUCCGAGCUCUGCAUGGGAGACUGAAGCUGACAGAGCUGCAGCAGUUAGCAGGUUUCACCCUCAGAGACCACCAGGGGUUCAUGUUGAGGCAUUUUCAGUUUUUUUUUUUUUUUUUUUUGCCAUAGACACUGUCAGCACAAUCUGCAGUUACACUAACAAAAAUGCUGCAAAAAACAAAGAAUUAUGGAAAAAUUACACAUGGACUAACAUAGAGGAGGAUCUACACAAGUUUUUUACAUCAUGUUUUACAUCAUGCAUCAUUUACAUCAUGUUUUUUUGUAGUGGCAUAAAUAAAAAGUGACAUUUGUGAGACUAUACAGUGUUUUGUAAAUAAUUUUACAAAGAACACCUGGGCCAUUGCCUGCAUUUUGAUGUAAAUAGAGGUAAAUUACUAUGUUCUUUGUUAAAAAUUUGCAUAUGUUUUGAAGUUUACAAUUUUUAUUUGAAGUUUAAGUUUUAAAAACAGUUCAUCACACAUAUUUGUGGUUUUCACAGUAAAAACGUUACUUUUUUCCACUCGGAUUUUAUGUUUUGUGUGUGAAUUUGGGUCCAUUGUGUAAAUAUAGUAUGUCAAAAUGAUAAAAUAACUGUAAAUUGACACAGGUGAGGUUGUGCUGAAAAAAAUGAUACCAGGCAAGGCAAGGUAAAAAUUUUGUAAGAGGAAAUAUAAAGGUAAAAUCUAAAGUAGUCAAAAACGGCCAAUAGUGACUCACAGACUCCACAGACAAGUCCCUUUGGCGCCACUCAGUGGGCAAAACUACUUUGUCUACUGUAAUGUAUAUUUGGGUCAUCUUUGGCGCCCCCUAAAACGUAAACCGUGGGGUGCAGCGUCAUGAUUUUUACAACUUUGAAUGGCCAUGGAGUGUAGAUUGGCCUGAGCAAAUUUGGUGUCAGUGGGACGAAAGCCUUAGGAGGAGUUAGCGAAAUUCCAAUGUGUGCGAAUCGGCAAAAAAUGCAAAAUAGCCCUUUUACCGUACAUUAUACAGAUACGCGCUCUUUGACUUUUUCAUAGAUCUAAUUGAGAUACAUGUGAUUGUCAAUUUUUGUGUCAUUUUGCCAAAGCGUACAGGCGUGACAGUCAACAAUGUGUAUUUUCACCUUAGGGGACAAGAAAAAAUGGACUUUUUUCUCCUGCCAUGGGGGGGCGCUCUUUCAGGGAGUAAAAAUUCCUUCACAAAUGUGUUGAUGGCUGGACAUAGCAUCAUCCUAGAAAACUUGGAGGCCAGUGAGGACAAAAAUAAAAAGUUAUAAGACUUUUAAAAAUGUGGAUUUUUGGGUCAUCUUUGGCGCCCCCUAAAACGUAAACCGUGGGGUGCAGCGUCAUGAUUUUUACAACUUUGAAUGGCCAUGGAGUGUAGAUUGGCCUGAGCAAAUUUGGUGUCAGUGGGACGAAAGCCUUAGGAGGAGUAAGCGAAAUUCCAAUGUGUGCGAAUCGGCAAAAAAUGCAAAAUAGCCCUUUUACCGUACAUUAUACAGAUACGCGCUCUUUGACUUUUUCGUAGAUCUAAUUGAGAUACACAUGAUUGUCAAUUUUUGUGUCAUUUCGCCAAAGCGUACAGGCGUGACAGUCAACAAUGUGUAUUUUCACCUUAGGGGACAAGAAAAAAUGGACUUUUUUCUCCUGCCAUGGGGGGGCGCUCUUUCAGGGAGUAAAAAUUUCUUCACAAAUGUGUUGAUGGCUGGACAUAGCAUCAUCCUAGAAAACUUGGAGGCCAGUGAGGACAAAAAUAAAAAGUUAUAAGACUUUUAAAAAUGUGGAUUUUUGGGUUAUCUUUGGCGCCCCCUAGAACCUAAACCGUGGGGUGCAGCGUCAUGAUUUGAAUAACUUUUAAUGGCCAUGGGGUGUAGAUUGGCCUGAGCAAAUGUGGUGCCGGUGGAACGAAAGCCUUCGGAGGAGUUAGCGAAAUUCCAAUGUGUGCGGAUCGGCAAAAAAUGCGAAAUAACCCUUUAACCGUACAUUUGACAGAUACGCCCGCACUGACUUUUUUGUAGAUCUUAUUGAGAUACAUGUGUGUGUCAAUUUUUGUGUCAUUUUGACAAAGCGUACAGGCGUGACAGUCAAUAGUGUGAAUUUUCACCUUAGGGGGCGCUAUGGAGCCAUUUUGCAUUUUCUUGUUUGGGCGACUUCGGAAUAUCAAAUUUUUCACCAGGCCCGGUCGUCCUGCCAAAUUUCAUGAGUUUUCGCCAGUGGGAAGUGGGCCAUUUUCCAGUUCAAAGGGGAGGAAAAAGAAGAAAGAAAGAAACAAAGAAAAACCACUUGGGGAAUAAUAGGGCUCUCGCAGCUGCUUAGCAGCUACGCUCGGGCCCUAAAAACAAACCACUAGGACCCCGUUGGGGCACUGGCGGGCCCGAGCCGUGUCGCGUCCCCCCCCCCCCCAACGUGCUGCCUCCCCGUCCCAUUUGUGUCCUCUGGCCAUCGCCCUCUCUGGUAACGCCCAUCACUGCAAAGACCCUUUUCCUUCAUCGGCGUUUGCUGUUCUUCCUGCCAGUGCGUGUUGCUUUCACUUACACUUGCCACAGCCAGCCUCGUGAGUGCCUAGCCUAUUGGAUAUCACUGUCACCUACACAGGACAGUCAUUACCUUUCUAUUAAUACUUUGUGUUUUAAUUUCACAUUAAUUUCCAUAUUGUAUAAACGACUGGAAAAAACUUGAGCCCCUGCCCCUGUAUAAUCAUGUGCAUGUCUCUGUUCUAGCUCCAAAGUGAAUCUUCACUGCUCAUGUUCUCCUCAGAAGCACUCACCUCACUCCCCUCAGGUUACUGUACACAUGCACCAACUGCCUGCUUCAGGUUUGGAUGGAGCUUCAUGGUUGUCUUUUGGAGAAAUGACCAGUCAAGUUGUGUUUGAAAUUUGAUUUUUUUCAGGGGCAAAAGGAGCCUCUGCAUUCUUGUCAAAUAUGUAAAUAGCAUGUUUUUGCAGGUGCUAAAAACCAGACUCUGAGUGUGUGUGUGUGUGUGUGUGUGUGUGUGUGUGUGUGUGUGUGUGUGUGUGUGUGUGUGUGCGUGUGUGUGUGUCUGUGUGUGCGUUCAAGUCACAUGACAUAUUUAACCGGAUGUAGCUGCAAGACGGAGCCUCGUUGACUCUCCGUUUCAACUUAUCUCAAAAGUGAGGACCUCAACCUAUAUACCAGUUUUUAAAUUGUGUUGAUAGGCCAAAUAAAACCAGAGUUAUGAUAAAUUAUGUCCGCGAUACUUUUUUUCUGCUUAUUUUGAUCACGUUCGGCGCUCGAUCGCGCUGUAUGAGACAGGAAAACAUAGCAUGCAGACAUUAGCGACAGGUCUUACAGGCGGAAAAGGCUUGCCAAAAGAAAAAAAAAACACACCACAACAUCUCUCCUAUUGGUGGAAAACUUCACCACAACAACCAAUCCAAAAUUAUAUGGUGACUGAUUGACAAGGGGCGGGCGCUUACGUUCUUCCUGCAACAUGAGAAGGGAGGGAGGGACUCUCAGCAGGGAUGCAGUCUGGGACACGUAGUUGCAAACCUAGCGACUUUGUUGUUAGAUUCAAUGACUUUUCAGACCCCCUAACGACUUUUUUUUAGAAAGAAAGGGACUUUUAUCGACUUCUUCUGGAGUUUAGAGACUCUGACAUGAAGCAGGCUUUCCUUACUGAGGAGUUAGCAACGCUGCUAAGGGUGCAGAGCCACACAUGCGCUCAGAGCUCUGCAUGGGAGACUGAAGCUGACAGAGCUGCAGCAGUUAGCAGGUUUCACCCUCAGAGACCACCAGGGGUUCAUGUUGAGGCAUUUUAAUUUUUUUUUUUUUUGUGCCAUAGACACUGUCAGCACAAUCUGCAGUUACACUAACAAAAAUGCUGCAAAAAACAAAGAAUUAUGGAAAAAUUACACAUGGACUGACAUAGAGGAGGAUCUACACAAGUUUUUUACAUCAUGUUUUACAUCAUGCAUCAUUUACAUCAUGUUUUUUUGUAGUGGCAUAAAUAAAAAGUGACAUUUGUGAGACUAUACAGUGUUUUGUAAAUAAUUUUACAAAGAACGCCUGGGCCAUUGCCUGCAUUUUGAUGAAAAUAGAGGUAAAUUAUUAUGUUCUUUGUUAAAAAUUUGCAUAUGUUUUGAAGUUUACAAUUUUUAUUUGAAGUUUAAGUUUUAAAAACAGUUCAUCACACAUAUUUGUGGUUUAAUUUCACAUUAAUUUCCAUAUUGUAUAAAUGACUGGAAAAAACUUGAGCCCCUGCCCCUGUAUAAUCAUGUGCACGUCCCUGUUCUAGCUCCAAGGUGAAUCUUCACUGCUCAUGUUCUCCUCAGAAAUAGUCACCUCACUCCCCUCAGGUUACUGUACACAUGCACCAACUAUCUGCUUCAGGUUUGAAAUGGAGCUUCAUGGUUGUCUUUUGGAGAAAUGAACAGUCAAGUUGUGUUUGAAAUUUGAUUUUUUUCAGGGGCAAAAGGAGCCUCUGCAUUCUUGUCAAAUAUGUAAACAGCAUGUUUUUGCAGGUGCUAAAAAACAGACUCUGAGUGUGUGUGUGUGUCUGUGUGUGUGUGUGUGUGUGUGUGUGUGUGUGUGUGUGUGUGUGUAUGUUGGCGUGUGUGUAUAUGUGUGUGUAUCCUGCAGUACUCUGUACUCCUGCAGUGGCCAAAAAGACUUUUAAGAAUGUGGAUUUUUGGGUCAUCUUUGGCGCCCCCUAGAACUGCAGUACUCUGUACUCCUGCAGUGGCCAAAAUGACUUUUAAGAAUGUGGAUUUUUGGGUCAUCUUUGGCGCCCCCUAGAACGUAAACCGUGGGGUGCAGCGUCAUGAUUUUUACAACUUUGAAUGGGCAUGGGGUGUAGAUUGCCCUGAGCAAAUUUGGUAUCGGUGGGACGAAAGCCUUAGGAGGAGAUAGCCACAUUCCAAUGUGUGCGAAUCGGCAAAAAAUGCAAAAUAGCCCUUUAACCGUACAUUAUACAGAUACGCGCUCUUUGACUUUUUCGUAGAUCUAAUUGAGAUACACAUGAUUGUUGAGUGUCACGCCUGAACGCUUUGUCAUAUUGACACAAAAAUUGACAAUGUGUAUUUUCAUGUAAGGGGACAAGAAAAAAUUGACUUUUUUCUCCUACCAUGGGGGGGCGCUCUUUUGGGGAGUAAAAAUUCCUUCACAAAUGUGUUGAUGGCUGGACAUUGCAUCAUCCUAGAAAACUUGGAGGCCAGUGAGGACAAAAAUAAAAAGUUAUGAAACAUUUAAGAAUGUGGAUUUUUGGGUUAUUUUUGGCGCCCCCUAGAACCUAAACCAUGGGGUGCAGCAUCAUGAUUUGAAUAACUUUUAAUGGCCAUGGGGUGUAGAUUGGCUUGAGCAAAUGUGGUGCCGGUGGAACGAAAGCCUUCGGAGGAGUUAGCGAAAUUCCAAUGUGUGCGUGUCGGCAAAUAAUGCGGAAUAACCCUUUAACUGUACAUUUGACAGAUACGCGCGCAUUGACUUUUUUGUAGAUCUUAUUGAGUUACAUGUGUGUGUCAAUUUUUGUGUCAUUUUGACAAAGCGUAUAGGCGUGACACUCAACAAUGUGUAUUUUCACCUUAGGGGACAAGAAAAAAUUGACUUUUUUCUCCUGCCAUGGGGGGGCGCUCUUUUGGGGAGUAAAAAUUCCUUCACAAAUGUGUUGAUGGCUGGACAUUGCAUCAUCCUAGAAAACUUGGAGGCCAGUGAGGACAAAAAUAAAAAGUUAUAAGACUUUUAAAUAUGUGGAUUUUAGGGUUAUCUUUGGCGCCCCCUAGAACCUAAACCUUGGGGUGCAGCGUCAUGAUUUUGAUAACUUUUAAUGGCCACGGGGUGUAGAUUGGCCUGAGCAAAUGUGGUGCCGGUGGAACGAAAGCCUUCGGAGGAGUUAGCGAAAUUCCAAUGUGUGCGGAUCGGCAAAAAAUGCGUAAUAACCCUUUAACCGUACAUUUGACAGAUACGCCCGCACCGACUUUUUUGUAGAUCUUAUUGAGAUACAUGUGUGUGUCAAUUUUUGUGUCAUUUUGACAAAGCGUACAGUCGUGACAGUGAAUAGUGUGAAUUUUCACCUUAGGGGGCGCUAUGGAGCCAUUUUGCAUUUUAUUGUUUUGGCGACUUCAGAAUAUCAAAUUUUUCACCAGGCCCGGUCGUCCUGCCAAAUUUCAUGAGUUUUCGCCAGUGGGAAGGGGGCCAUUUUCCAGUUCAAAGGGGAGGAAAAAGAAAAAAGAAAGAAAGAAACAAAGAAAAACCACUUGGGGAAUAAUAGGGCCUACGCCCGGCUGCUCUGCAGCUGGCUCGGGCCCUAAUAAUAACAAAAGAAGGAAACAUGCAGGAACAAGAGGGCUCUCGCAGCUGCUUAGCAGCUACGCUCGGGCCCUAACUAGGGCCCCGUUGGGGCACUGGCGGGCCCGAGCCGUGUCGCGCUGCCCCCCCCAACGCGCUGCCUCCCCGUCCCAUUCGCGUCCUCUGGCCAUCGUCCUCUCUGGUAACGCCCAUCACUGCAAAGACCCUUUCCUUCAUCGGCGUUUGCUGUUCUUCCUGCCAGUGCGUGUUGCUUUCACUUACACUUGCCACAGCCAGCCUCGUGAGUGCCUAGCCUAUUGGAUAUCACUGUCAUCUACACAGGACAGUCAUAACCUUUCUAUUAAUACUUUGUUUUUUAAUUUCACAUUAAUUUCCAUAUUGUAUAAAUGACUGGAAAAAACUUGAGCCCCUGCCCCUGUAUAAUCAUGUGCACGUCCCUGUUCUAGCUCCAAGGUGAAUCUUCACUGCUCAUGUUCUCCUCAGAAAUAGUCACCUCACUCCCCUCAGGUUACUGUACACAUGCACCAACUAUCUGCUUCAGGUUUGGAUGGAGCUUCAUGGUUGUCUUUUGGAGAAAUGACCAGUCAAGUUGUGUUUGAAAUUUGAUUUUUUUCAGGGGCAAAAGGAAGCCUCUGCAUUCUUGUCAAAUAUGUAAACAGCAUGUUUUUGCAGGUGCUAAAAAACAGACUCUGAGUGUGUGUGUGUGUGUGUGUGUGUGUGUGUGUGUGUGUGUGUGUGCGUGUGUGUACAUGUGUGUGUAUCCUGCAGUACUCUGUACUCCUGCAGUGGCCAAAAAGACUUUUAAGAAUGUGGAUUUUUGGGUCAUCUUUGGCGCCCCCUAGAACUGCAGUACUCUGUACUCCUGCAGUGGCCAAAAUGACUUUUAAGAAUGUGGAUUUUUGGGUCAUCUUUGGCGCCCCCUAGAACGUAAACCGUGGGGUGCAGCGUCAUGAUUUUUACAACUUUGAAUGGGCAUGGGGUGUAGAUUGCCCUGAGCAAAUUUGGUAUCAGUGGGACGAAAGCCUUAGGAGGAGAUAGCCACAUUCCAAUGUGUGCGAAUCGGCAAAAAAUGCGAAAUAGCCCUUUAACCGUACAUUAUACAGAUACGCGCUCUUUGACUUUUUCGUAGAUCUAAUUGAGAUACACAUGAUUGUCAAUUUUUGUGUCAAUAUGACAAAGCGUUCAGGCGUGACACUCAACAAUGUGUAUUUUCAUGUAAGGGGACAAGAAAAAAUUGACUUUUUUCUCCUGCCAUGGGGGGGCGCUCUUUUGGGGAGUAAAAAUUCCUUCACAAAUGUGUUGAUGGCUGGACAUUGCAUCAUCCUAGAAAACUUGGAGGGCAGUGAGGACAAAAAUAAAAAGUUAUAAGACUUUUAAGAAUGUGGAUUUUUGGGUUAUCUUUGGCGCCCCCUAGAACCUAAACCGUGGGGUGCAGCGUCAUGAUUUGUACAACUUUUAAUGGCCAUGGGGUGUAGACUGGCCUGAGCAAAUGUGGUGCCGGUGGAACGAAAGCCUUCGGAGGAGUUAGCGAAAUUCCAAUGUGUGCGGAUCGGCAAAAAAUGCGAAAUAACCCUUUAACCGUACAUUUGACAGAUACGCCCGCACUGACUUUUUUGUAGAUCUUAUUGAGAUACAUAUGUGUGUCAAUUUUUGUGUCAAUAUGACAAAACGUACAGACGUGACAGUCAACAAUGUGUAUUUUCACCUUAGGGGACAAGAAAAAAUGGACUUUUUUCUCCUGCCAUGGGGGGGCGCUCUUUUGGGGAGUAAAAAUUCCUUCACAAAUGUGUUACUGGCUGGACAUUGCAUCAUCCUAGAAAACUUGGAGGCCAGUGAGGACAAAAAUAAAAAGUUAUAAGACUUUUAAAUAUGUGGAUUUUAGUGUUAUCUUUGGCGCCCCCUAGAACCUAAACCUUGGGGUGCAGCGUCAUGAUUUUGAUAACUUUUAAUGGCCACGGGGUGUAGAUUGGCCUGAGCAAAUGUGGUGCCGGUGGAACGAAAGCCUUCGGAGGAGUUAGCGAAAUUCCAAUGUGUGCGGAUCGGCAAAAAAUGCGUAAUAACCCUUUAACCGUAAUUUUGACAGAUACGGCCGCACUGACUUUUUUGUACAUCUUAUUGAGAUACAUAUGUGUGUCAAUUUUUGUGUCAAUAUGACAAAGCGUACAGGCGUGACAGUCAAUAGUGUGAAUUUCCACCUUAGGGGGCGCUAUGUAGCCAUUUUGCAUUUUAUUGUUUGGGCGACUUCAGAAUAUCGAAUUUUUCACCAGGCCCGGUCGUCCUGCCAAAUCUCAUGAGUUUUCGCCAGUGGGAAGUGGGCCAUUUUCCAGUUCAAAGGGGAGGAAAAAGAAGAAAGAAAGAAAGAAAGAAACAAAGAAAAACCACUUGGGGAAUAAUAGGGCUCUCGCAGCUGCUUAGCAGCUACGCUCGGGCCCUAAGAAAGAAAGAAAGAAAGAAAGAAACAAAGAAAAACCACUUGGGGAAUAAUAGGGCUCUCGCAGCUGCUUAGCAGCUACGCUCGGGCCCUAAAGAAACAAAGAAAAACCACUUGGGGAAUAAUAGGGCUCUCGCAGCUGCUUAGCAGCUACGCUCGGGCCCUAAUAAUAAUAACACUAGGGCCCCGGUGGGGCACUGUCGGGCCCGAGCCGCGUCGCGCCGCCCCUAGUGCGACCGCCUCCCCCUCCCGAUCGCGUCACACUCAAGGUCCAAAGAUGGUGUGCGCACUUGUCUGUGGUCAUUUCCCAUUAUAAUGAAUGGGAGGCGCAGUUUCUACCAAAACACUCGCUGCAGACAAACUUCAUGUCCUAUUUGAAAAAAGUCUGGACCAUGAGUGAGGGCACAAACACAGCUAUGAUAUAUCGAAAUGGCAGGUUGCUCCUCCUUACGGUGUUGCCUGGAGAGCGAUGCGAUUGAGCCAUUGAGCAAUGGGCAGGGUUAACUUGACUUUUUCUCCUGCCUUGGGGGGGGAUGUGGAUUCCUUUAAGAAUGUGGAUUUUUGGGUCAUCUUUGGCGCCCCCUAGAACGUAAACCGUGGAGUGCAGCGUCAUGAUUUUUACAACUUUGAAUGGCCAUGGGGUGUAGAUUGGCCUGAGCAAAUUUGGUGUCAGUGGGACGAAAGCCUUAGGAGGAGUUAGCCACAUUCCAAUGUGUGCGAAUCGGCAAAAAAUGCAAAAUAGCCCUUUAACCGUACAUUUGACAGAUACGCGCGCAUUGACUUUUUUGUAGAUCUUAUUGAGAUACAUAUGUGUGUCAAUUUUUGUGUCAAUAUGAUAAAGCGUACAGGCGUGACAGUCAAUAGUGUGAAUUACCACCUUAGGGGACAAGAAAAAAUUGGACUUUUUUCUCCUGCCAUGGGGGGGCGCUCUUUUGGGGAGUAAAAAUUCCUUCACAAAUGUGUUGAUGGCUGGACAUUGCAUCAUCCUAGAAAACUUGGAGGCCAGUGAGGACAAAAAUAAAAAGUUAUAAGACUUUUAAAUAUGUGGAUUUUAGUGUUAUCUUUGGCGCCCCCUAGAACCUAAACCGUGGGGUGCAGCGUCAUGAUUUGAAUAACUUUUAAUGGCCAUGGGGUGUAGAUUGGCCUGAGCAAAUGUGGUGCCGGUGGAACGAAAGCCUUAGGAGGAGUUAGCGAAAUUCCAAUGUGUGCGGAUCGGCAAAAAAUGCGGAAUAACCCUUUAACCGUACAUUUGACAGAUACGCACGCAUUGACUUUUUCGUAGAUCUUAUUGAGAUACAUGUGUGUGUCAAUUUUUGUGUCAUUUUGCCAAAGCGUACACGCGUGACAGUCAAUAGUGUGAAUUUUCACCUUAGGGGGCGCUAUGGAGCCAUUUUGCAUUUUCUUGUUUGGGCGACUUCGGAAUAUCAAAUUUUUCACCAGGCCCGGUCGUCCUGCCAAAUUUCAUGAGUUUUCGCCAGUGGGAAGUGGGCCAUUUUCCAGUUCAAAGGGGAGGAAAAAUAAUAACUAGGACCCCGUUGGGGCACUGGCGGGCCCGAGCUGUGCCGCGUCCCCCCCCCAACGCGCUGCCUCCCCGUCCCAUUUGUGUCCUCUGGCCAUCGCCCUCUCUGGUAACGCCCAUCACUGCAAAGACCCUUUUCCUUCAUCGGCGUUUGCUGUUCUUCCUGCCAGUGCGUGUUGCUUUCACUUACACUUGCCACAGCCAGCCUCGUGAGUGCCUAGCCUAUUGGAUAUCACUGUCACCUACACAGGACAGUCAUUACCUUUCUAUUAAUACUUUGUUUUUUAAUUUCACAUUAAUUUCCAUAUUGUAUAAACAACUGGAAAAAACUUGAGCCCCUGCCCCUGUAUAAUCAUGUGCACGUCUCUGUUCUAGCUCUAAGGUGAAUCUUCACUGCUCAUGUUCUCCUCAGAAGCAGUCACCUCACUCCCCUCAGGUUACUGUGCACAUGCACCAACUGCCUGCUUCAGGUUUGGAUGGAGCUUCAUGGUUGUCUUUUGGAGAAAUGACCAGUCAAGUUGUGUUUGAAAUUUGAUUUUUUUCAGGGGCAAAAGGAGCCUCUGCAUUCUUGUCAAAUAUGUAAAUAGCAUGUUUUUGCAGGUGCUAAAAACCAGACUCUGAGUGUGUGUGUGUGUGUGUGUGCGUGUGUGUGUGUGUCUGUGUGUGCGUUCAAGUCACAUGACAUAUUUAACCGGAUGUAGCUGCAAGACGGAGCCUCGUUGACUCUCCGUUUCAACUUAUCUCAAAAGUGAGGACCUCAACCUAUAUACCAGUUUUUAAAUUGUGUUGAUAGGCCAAAUAAAACCAGAGUUAUGAUAAAUUAUGUCCGCGAUACUUGUUUUCUGCUUAUUUUGAUCACGUUCGGCGCUCGAUCGCGCUGUAUGAGACAGGAAAACAUAGCAUGCAGACAUUAGCGACAGGUCUUACAGGCGGAAAAGGCUUGCCAAAGGAAAAAAAAAAACACACCACAACAUCUCUCCUAUUGGUGGAAAACUUCACCACAACAACCAAUCCAAAAUUAUAUGGUGACUGAUUGACAAGGGGCGGGCGCUUACGUUCUUCCUGCAAUAUGAGAAGGGAGGGAGGGACUCUCAGCAGGGAUGCAGUCUGGGACACGUAGUUGCAAACCUAGCGACUUUGUUGUUAGAUUCAAUGACUUUUCAGACCCCCUAACGACUUUUUUUUUAGAAAGAAAGGGACUUUUAUCGACUUCUUCUGGAGUUUUGAGACUCUGACAUGAAGCAGGCUUUCCUUACUGAGGAGUUAGCAACGCUGCUAAGGGUGCAGAGCCACACAUGCGCUCCGAGCUCUGCAUGGGAGACUGAAGCUGACAGAGCUGCAGCAGUUAGCAGGUUUCACCCUCAGAGACCACCAGGGGUUCAUGUUGAGGCAUUUUCAGUUUUUUUUUUUUUUUUGCCAUAGACACUGUCAGCACAAUCUGCAGUUACACUAACAAAAAUGCUGCAAAAAACAAAGAAUUAUGGAAAAAUUACACAUGGACUAACAUAGAGGAGGAUCUACACAAGUUUUUUACAUCAUGUUUUACAUCAUGCAUCAUUUACAUCAUGUUUUUUUUGUAGUGGCAUAAAUAAAAAGUGACAUUUGUGAGACUAUACAGUGUUUUGUAAAUAAUUUUACAAAGAACACCUGAGCCAUUGCCUGCAUUUUGAUGUAAAUAGAGGUAAAUUACUAUGUUCUUUGUUAAAAAUUUGCAUAUGUUCUGAAGUUUACAAUUUUUAUUUGAAGUUUAAGUUUUAAAAACAGUUCAUCACACAUAUUUGUGGUUUUCACAGUAAAAACGUUACUUUUUUCCACUCGGAUUUUAUGUUUUGUGUGUGAAUUUGGGUCCAAUGUGUAAAUAUAGUAUGUCAAAAUGAUAAAAUAACUGUAAAUUGACACAGGUGAGGUUGUGCUGAAAAAAAUGAUACCAGGCAAGGCAAGGUAAAAAUUUUGUAAGAGGAAAUAUAAAGGUAAAAUCUAAAGUAGUCAAAAACGGCCAAUAGUGACUCACAGACUCCAUAGACAAGUCCCUUUGGCGCCACUCAGUGGGCAAAACUACUUUGUCUACUGUAAUGUAUAUUUGGGUCAUCUUUGGCGCCCCCUAAAACGUAAACCGUGGGGUGCAGCGUCAUGAUUUUUACAACUUUGAAUGGCCAUGGAGUGUAGAUUGGCCUGAGCAAAUUUGGUGUCAGUGGGACGAAAGCCUUAGGAGGAGUUAGCGAAAUUCCAAUGUGUGCGAAUCGGCAAAAAAUGCAAAAUAGCCCUUUUACCGUACAUUAUACAGAUACGCGCUCUUUGACUUUUUCGUAGAUCUAAUUGAGAUACACAUGAUUGUCAAUUUUUGUGUCAUUUUGCCAAAGCGUACAGGCGUGACAGUCAACAAUGUGUAUUUUCACCUUAGGGGACAAGAAAAAAUGGACUUUUUUCUCCUGCCAUGGGGGGGCGCUCUUUUAGGAAGUAAAAAUUCCUUCACAAAUGUGUUGAUGGCUGGACAUUGCAUCAUCCUAGAAAACUUGGAGGCCAGUGAGGACAAAAAUAAAAAGUUAUAAGACUUUUAAAAAUGUGGAUUUUUGGGUUAUCUUUGGCGCCCCCUAGAACGUAAACCGUAGGGUGCAGCGUCAUGAUUUGAAUAACUUUUAAUGGCCAUGGGGUGUAAUUUGGCCUGAGCAAAUGUGGUGCCGGUGGAACGAAAGCCUUCGGAGGAGUUAGCGAAAUUCCAAUGUGUGCGAAUCGGCAAAAAAUGCGGAAUAACCCUUUAACCGUACAUUAGACAGAUACGCGCGCAUGGACUUUUUUGUAGAUCUUAUUGAGAUACAUGUGUGUGUCAAUUUUUGUGUCAUUUUGACAAAGCGUACAGGCGUGACACUCAACAAUGUGUAUUUUCACCUUAGGGGACAAGAAAAAAUGGACUUUUUUCUCCUGCCAUGGGGGGGCGCUCUUUUGGGGAGUAAAAAUUCCUUCACAAAUGUGUUGAUGGCUGGACAUUGCAUCAUCCUAGAAAACUUGGAGGCCAGUGAGGGCAAAAAUAAAAAGUUAUAAGACUUUUAAAAAUGUGGAUUUUAGGGUUAUCUUUGGCGCCCCCUAGAACCUAAACCGUGGGGUGCAGCGUCAUGAUUUGAAUAACUUUUAAUGGCCAUGGGGUGUAGAUUGGCCUGAGCAAAUGUGGUGCCGGUGGAACGAAAGCCUUCGGAGGAGUUAGCGAAAUUCCAAUGUGUGCGGAUCGGCAAAAAAUGCGAAAUAACCCUUUAACCGUACAUUUGACAGAUACGCCCGCACUGACUUUUUUGUAGAUCUUAUUGAGAUACAUGUGUGUGUCAAUUUUUGUGUCAUUUUGACAAAGCGUACAGGCGUGACAGUCAAUAGUGUGAAUUUUCACCUUAGGGGGCGCUAUGGAGCCAUUUUGCAUUUUCUUGUUUGGGCGACUUCGGAAUAUCGAAUUUUUCACCAGGCCCGGUCGUCCUGCCAAAUUUCCUGAGUUUUCGCCAGUGGGAAGUGGGCCAUUUUCCAGUUCAAAGGGGAGGAAAAAGAAGAAAGAAAGAAAGAAAGAAACAAAGAAAAACCCCUUGGGGAAUAAUAGGGCUCUCGCAGCUGCUUAGCAGCUACGCUCGGGCCCUAACUAGGGCCCCGGUGGGGCACUGUCGGGCCCGAGCCGCAUCGCACCACCCCCAGCGCGACCGCCUCCACCUCCCGAUCGCGUCACACUCAAGGUCCAAAGAUGGUGUGCGCACUUGUCUGUGGUCAUUUCCCAUUAUAAUGAAUGGGAAGCGCAGUUUCUACCAAAACACUCGCUGCAGACAAACUACAUGUCCUAUUUGAAAAAAGUCUGGACCAUGAGUGAGGGCACAAACAUAGCUAGGAUAUAUCCAAACGGCAAGUUGCUCCUCGUUACGGUGUUGCCAGGAGAGCGAUGCGAUUGAGCCAUUGAGUGAUGGGCAGGAAAAACUUGACUGUUUCUCCUGCCAUGGGGGGUGGGGGAUGGGGGGGGAUGUGGAUUCUUUUAAGAAAGUGGAUAUUUGGGUCAUCUUUGGCGCCCCCUAGAACGUAAACCGUGGGGUGCAGCGUCAUGAUUUUUACAACUUUGAAUGGCCAUGGGGUGUAGAUUGGCCUGAGAAAAUUUGGUGUCAGUGGGACGAAAGCCUUAGGAGGAGUUUGCGACAUUCCAAUGUGUGCGAAUCGGCAAAAAAUGCAAAAUAGCCCUUUAACCGUACAUUUGACAGAUACGCGCGCAUUGACUUUUUCGUAGAUCUUAUUGAGAUACACGUGAUUGUCAAAUUUUGUGUCAAUAUGACAAAGCGUACAGGCGUGACACUCAACAAUGUAAAUUUUCACCUUAGGGGACAAGAAAAAAUGGACUUUUUUCUCCUGCCAUGGGGGGGCGCUCUUUUGGGGAGUAAAAAUUCCUUCACAAAUGUGUUGAUGGCUGGACAUUGCAUUAUCCUAGAGAACUUGGAGGCCAGUGAGGACAAAAAUAAAAAGUUAUAAGACUUUUAAAUAUGUGGAUUUUAUGGUUAUCUUUGGCGCCCCCUAGAACCUAAACCGUGGGGUGCAGCGUCAUGAUUUGUACAACUUUUAAUGGCCAUGGGGUGUAGAUUGGCCUGAGCAAAUGUGGUGCCGGUGGAACGAAAGCCUUCGGAGGAGUUAGCGAAAUUCCAAUGUGUGCGGAUCGGCAAAAAAUGCGCAAUAAUCCUUUAACCGUACAUUUGACAGAUACGCCCGCACUGACUUUUUUGUAGAUCUUAUUGAGAUACAUGUGUGUGUCAAUUUUUGUGUCAUUUUGACAAAGCGUACAGGCGUGACAGUCAAUAGUGUGAAUUUCCACCUUAGGGGGCGCUAUGGAGCCAUUUUGCAUUUUAUUGUUUGGGCGACUUCAGAAUAUCGAAUUUUUCACCAGGCCCGGUCGUCCUGCCAAAUUUCAUGAGUUUUCGCCAGUGGGAAGUGGGCCAUUUUCCAGUUUAAAGCGGAGGAAAAAUAAUAACUAGGGCCCCGUUGGGGCACUGGCGGGCCCGAGCCGUGUCACGCCGCCCCCAGCGCGACCGCCUCCCCCACCCGAUCGCGUCACACUCAAGGUCCAAAGAUGGUGUGCGCACUUGUUUGUGGUCAUUUACCAUUAUAAUGAACGGGAGGCGCAGUUUCUACCAAAGCGCUCGCUGCAGAAAAACUCCAUGUCCUAUUUGAAAAAAGUCUGGACCAUGAGUGAGGGCACAAACACAGCUAAGAUAUAUCCAAAUGGCAAGUUGCUCCUCCUUUCGCUUUUGCCGAGAGAGCAGUGCGUUUGAGCCAUUGAAUGAUGAACAGGAAAAACUUGACUUUAUUCUCCUGCCAUGGGGGGCGCUCUUUUAACGAGAAAAAACUCCUUCACAAAUGUGUUGAUGGCUGGACAUUGCAUCAUCCUAGAAAACAUGGAGGCCAGUGAGGACAAAAAUAAAAAGUUAUAAGACUUUUAAAUAUGUGGAUUUUAGGGUUAUCUUUGGCGCCCCCUAGAACCUAAACCGUGGGGUGCAGCGUCAUGAUUUGAAUAACUUUUAAUGGCCAUGGGGUGUAGAUUGGCCUGAGCAAAUGUGGUGCCGGUGGAACAAAAGCCUUCGGAGGAGUUAGCGAAAUUCCAAUGUGUGCGAAUCUGCAAAAAAUGCAAAAUAACCCUUUAACCGUACAUUUUACAGAUACGUGGCCAUUGACUUUUUCGAAGAUCUUAUUGAAAUACACGUGUAUGUAAAAUUUUGUGUCAAUACGACAAAACAUACAGGCGUAGCACUCAACAAUGUGUAUUUUCACCUUAGUGGACAAGAAAAAAUGGACUUUUUUCUCCUGCCAUGGGGGGGCGCUCUUUUGGGGAGUAAAAAUUCCUUCACAAAUGUGUUGAUGGCUGGACAUUGCAUCAUCCUAGAAAACUUGGAGGCCAGUGGGGACAAAAAUAAAAAGUUAUAAGACUUUUAAAUAUGUGGAUUUUACGGUUAUCUUUGGCGCCCCCUAGAACCUAAACCAUGGGGUGCAGCGUCAUGAUUUGAAUAACUUUUAAUGGCCAUGGGGUGUAGAUUGGCCUGAGCAAAUGUGGUGCCGGUGGAACGAAAGCCUUCGGAGGAGUUAGCGAAAUUCCAAUGUGUGCGGAUCGGCAAAAAAUGCGGAAUAACCCUUUAACCGUACAUGUAACAGAUACGUGCGCAUUGACUUUUUCGUAGAUCUUAUUGAGAUACAUGUGUGUGUCAAUUUUUGUGUCAUUUUGCCAAAGCGUACAGGUGUUACACUCAACAAUGUGUAUUUUCACCUUAGAGGACAAGAAAAAAUGGACUUUUUUCUCCUGCCAUGGGGGGGCGCUCUUUUGGGGAGUAAAAAUUCCUUCACAAAUGUGUUGAUGGCUGGACAUUGCAUCAUCCUAGAAAACUUGGAGGCCAAUGAGGGCAAAAAUAAAAAGUUAUAAGACUUUUAAAUAUGUGGAUCUUAGGGUUAUCUUUGGCGCCCCCUAGAACCUAAACCGUGGGGUGCAGCGUCAUGAUUUGAAUAACUUUUAAUGGCCAUGGGGUGUAGAUUGGCCUGAGCAAAUGUGGUGCCGGUGGAACGAAAGCCUUCGGAGGAGUUAGCGAAAUUCCAAUGUGUGCGGAUCGGCAAAAAAUGCGAAAUAACCCUUUAACCGUACAUUUGACAGAUACGCCCGCACUGACUUUUUUGUAGAUCUUAUUGAGAUACAUGUGUGUGUCAAUUUUUGUGUCAUUUUGACAAAGCGUACAGGCGUGACAGUGAAUAGUGUGAAUUUUCACCUUAGGGGGCGCUAUGGAGCCAUUUUGCAUUUUCUUGUUUGGGCGACUUCGGAAUAUCAAAUUUUUCACCAGGCCCGGUCGUCCUGCCAAAUUUCAUGAGUUUUUGCCAGUGGGAAGUGGGCCAUUUUCCAGUUCAAAGGGGAGGAAAAAUAAUAAUAACUAGGGCCCCGUUGGGGCACUGGCGGGCCCGAGCCGUGUCACGCCGCCCCCAGCACGACCGCCUCCCCCACCCGAUCGCGUCACACUCAAGGUCCAAAGAUGGUGUGCGCACUUGUUUGUGGUCAUUUACCAUUAUAAUGAACGGGAGGCGCAGUUUCUACCAAAACGCUCGCUGCAGAAAAACUCCAUGUCCUAUUUGAAAAAAGUCUGGACCAUGAGUGAGGGCACAAACCCAGCUAAGAUAUAUCCAAAUGGCAAGUUGCUGCUCCUUUCGCUUUUGCCGAGAGAGCAGUGCGUUUGAGCCAUUGAAUGAUGAACAGGAAAAACUUGACUUUAUUCUCCUGCCAUGGGGGGCGCUCUUUUAACGAGAAAAAACUCCUUCACAAAUGUGUUGAUGGCUGGACAUUGCAUCAUCCUAGAAAACAUGGAGGCCAGUGAGGACAAAAAUAAAAAGUUAUAAGACUUUUAAAUAUGUGGAUUUUAGGGUUAUCUUUGGCGCCCCCUAGAACCUAAACCGUGGGGUGCAGCGUCAUGAUUUGAAUAACUUUUAAUGGCCAUGGGGUGUAGAUUGGCCUGAGCAAAUGUGGUGCCGGUGGAACGAAAGCCUUCGGAGGAGUUAGCGAAAUUCCAAUGUGUGCGAAUCUGCAAAAAAUGCGAAAUAACCCUUUAACCGUACAUUUUACAGAUACGUGGCCAUUGACUUUUUCGAAGAUCUUAUUGAAAGACACGUGUAUGUAAAAUUUUGUGUCAAUACGACAAAACAUACAGGCGUAGCACUCAACAAUGUGUAUUUUCACCUUAGUGGACAAGAAAAAAUGGACUUUUUUCUCCUGCCAUGGGGGGCGCUCUUUUGGCGAGUAAAAAUUCCUUCACAAAUGUGUUGAUGGCUGGACAUUGCAUCAUCCUAGAAAACUUGGAGGCCAGUGGGGACAAAAAUAAAAAGUUAUAAGACUUUUAAAUAUGUGGAUUUUACGGUUAUCUUUGGCGCCCCCUAGAACCUAAACCGUGGGGUGCAGCGUCAUGAUUUGAAUAACUUUUAAUGGCCAUGGGGUGUAGAUUGGCCUGAGAAAAUGUGGUGCCGGUGGAACGAAAGCCUUCGGAGGAGUUAGCGAAAUUCCAAUGUGUGCGGAUCGGCAAAAAAUGCGAAAUAACCCUUUAACCGUACAUUUGACAGAUACGUGCGCAUUGACUUUUUUGUAGAUCUUAUUGAGAUACAUGUGUGUGUCAAUUUUGGUGUCAUUUUGCCAAAGCGUACAGGUGUUACACUCAACAAUGUGUAUUUUCACCUUAGGGGACAAGAAAAAAUGGACUUUUUUCUCCUGCCAUGGGGGGCGCUCUUUUGGGGAGUAAAAAUUCCUUCACAAAUGUGUUGAUGGCUGGACAUUGCAUCAUCCUAGAAAACUUGGAGGCCAGUGAGGGCAAAAAUAAAAAGUUAUAAGACUUUUAAAUAUGUGGAUCUUAGGGUUAUCUUUGGCGCCCCCUAGAACCUAAACCGUGGGGUGCAGCGUCAUGAUUUGAAUAACUUUUAAUGGCCAUGGGGUGUAGAUUGGCCUGAGCAAAUGUGGUGCCGGUGGAACGAAAGCCUUCGGAGGAGUUAGCGAAAUUCCAAUGUGUGCGGAUCAGCAAAAAAUGCGAAAUAACCCUUUAACCGUACAUUUGACAGAUACGCCCGCACUGACUUUUUUGUAGAUCUUAUUGAGAUACAUGUGUGUGUCAAUUUUUGUGUCAUUUUGACAAAGCGUACAGGCGUGACAGUCAAUAGUGUGAAUUUUCACCUUAGGGGGCGCUAUGGAGCCAUUUUGCAUUUUCUUGUUUGGGCGACUUCGGAAUAUCAAAUUUUUCACCAGGCCCGGUCGUCCUGCCAAAUUUCAUGAGUUUUCGCCAGUGGGAAGUGGGCCAUUUUCCAGUUCAAAGGGGAGGAAAAAGAAAAAAGAAACAAAGAAAAACCCCUUGGGGAAUAAUAGGGCUCUCGCAGCUGCUUAGCAGCUACGCUCGGGCCCUAAGAAAGAAAGAAAGAAAGAAAGAAAGAAACAAAGAAAAACCACUUGGGGAAUAAUAGGGCCUACGCCCGGCUGCUCUGCAGCUGGCUCGGGCCCUAAAAAUGCUGCAAAAAACAAAGAAUUAUGGAAAAAUUACACAUGGACUGACAUAGAGGAGGAUCUACACAAGUUUUUUACAUCAUGUUUUACAUCAUGCAUCAUUUACAUCAUGUUUUUUUGUAGUGGCAUAAAUAAAAAGUGACAUUUGUGAGACUAUACAGUGAUUUGUAAAUAAUUUUACAAAGAACGCCUGGGCCAUUGCCUGCAUUUUGAUGUAAAUAGAGGUAAAUUACUAUGUUCUUUGUUAAAAAUUUGCAUAUGUUUUGAAGUUUACAAUUUUUAUUUGAAGUUUAAGUUUUAAAAACAGUUCAUCACACAUAUUUGUGGUUUAAUUUCACAUUAAUUUCCAUAUUGUAUAAAUGACUGGAAAAAACUUGAGCCCCUGCCCCUGUAUAAUCAUGUGCACGUCCCUGUUCUAGCUCCAAGGUGAAUCUUCACUGCUCAUGUUCUCCUCAGAAAUAGUCACCUCACUCCCCUCAGGUUACUGUACACAUGCACCAACUAUCUGCUUCAGGUUUGAAAUGGAGCUUCAUGGUUGUCUUUUGGAGAAAUGACCAGUCAAGUUGUGUUUGAAAUUUGAUUUUUUUCAGGGGCAAAAGGAAGCCUCUGCAUUCUUGUCAAAUAUGUAAACAGCAUGUUGCAGGUGCUAAAAAACAGACUCUGAGUGUGUGUGUGUGUCUGUGUGUGUGUGUGUGUGUGUGUGUGUGUGUAUGUUGGCGUGUGUGUAUAUGUGUGUGUAUCCUGCAGUACUCUGUACUCCUGCAGUGGCCAAAAUGACUUUUAAGAAUGUGGAUUUUUGGGUCAUCUUUGGCGCCCCCUAGAACUGCAGUACUCUGUACUCCUGCAGUGGCCAAAAUGACUUUUAAGAAUGUGGAUUUUUGGGUCAUCUUUGGCGCCCCCUAGAACGUAAACCGUGGGGUGCAGCGUCAUGAUUUUUACAACUUUGAAUGGGCAUGGGGUGUAGAUUGCCCUGAGCAAAUUUGGUAUCGGUGGGACGAAAGCCUUAGGAGGAGAUAGCCACAUUCCAAUGUGUGCGAAUCGGCAAAAAAUGCAAAAUAGCCCUUUAACCGUACAUUAUACAGAUACGCGCUCUUUGACUUUUUCGUAGAUCUAAUUGAGAUACACAUGAUUGUCAAUUUUUGUGUCAAUAUGACAAAGCGUUCAGGCGUGACACUCAACAAUGUGUAUUUUUAUGUAAGGGGACAAGAAAAAAUCGACUUUUUUCCUCUACCAUGGGGGGCGCUCUUUUGGGGAGUAAAAAUUCCUUCACAAAUGUGUUGAUGGCUGGACAUUGCAUCAUCCUAGAAAACUUGGAGGCCAGUGAGGACAAAAAUAAAAAGUUAUAAAACAUUUAAGAAUGUGGAUUUUUGGGUUAUUUUUGGCGCCCCCUAGAACCUAAACCAUGGGGUGCAGCAUCAUGAUUUGAAUAACUUUUAAUGGCCAUGGGGUGUAGAUUGGCCUGAGCAAAUGUGGUGCCGGUGGAACGAAAGCCUUCGGAGGAGUUAGCGAAAUUCCAAUGUGUGCGUAUCGGCAAAAAAUGCGGAAUAACCCUUUAACUGUACAUUUGACAGAUACGCGCGCAUGGACUUUUUUGUAGAUCUUAUUGAGUUACAUGUGUGUGUCAAUUUUUGUGUCAUUUUGACAAAGCGUAUAGGCGUGACACUCAACAAUGUGUAUUUUCACCUUAGGGGACAAGAAAAAAUGGACUUUUUUCUCCUGCCAUGGGGGGGCGCUCUUUGGGGGAGUAAAAAUUCCUUCACAAAUGUGUUGAUGGCUGGACAUUGCAUCAUCCUAGAAAACUUGGAGGCCAGUGAGGACAAAAAUAAAAAGUUAUAAGACUUUUAAAUAUGUGGAUUUUAGUGUUAUCUUUGGCGCCCCCUAGAACCUAAACCUUGGGGUGCAGCGUCAUGAUUUUGAUAACUUUUAAUGGCCACGGGGUGUAGAUUGGCCUGAGCAAAUGUGGUGCCGGUGGAACGAAAGCCUUCGGAGGAGUUAGCGAAAUUCCAAUGUGUGCGGAUCGGCAAAAAAUGCGAAAUAACCCUUUAACCGUAAUUUUGACAGAUACGGCCGCACUGACUUUUUUGUAGAUCUUAUUGAGAUACAUAUGUGUGUCAAUUUUUGUGUCAAUAUGACAAAGCGUACAGGCGUGACAGUCAAUAGUGUGAAUUUCCACCUUAGGGGGCGCUAUGGAGCCAUUUUGCAUUUUAUUGUUUGGACGACUUCAGAAUAUCGAAUUUUUCACCAGGCCCGGUCGUCCUGCCAAAUUUCAUGAGUUUUCGCCAGUGGGAAGUGGGCCAUUUUCCAGUUCAAAGGGGAGGAAAAAGAAGAAAGAAAGAAAGAAAGAAAGAAACAAAGAAAAACCACUUGGGGAAUAAUAGGGCCUACGCCCGGCUGCUCUGCAGCUGGCUCGGGCCCUAAUAAUAAUAACUAGGACCCCGUUGGGGCACUGGCGGGCCCGAGCUGUGUCGCGUCCCCCCCCCAACGCGCUGCCUCCCCGUCCCAUUUGUGUCCUCUGGCCAUCGCCCUCUCUGGUAACGCCCAUCACUGCAAAGACCCUUUUCCUUCAUCGGCGUUUGCUGUUCUUCCUGCCAGUGCGUGUUGCUUUCACUUACACUUGCCACAGCCAGCCUCUUGAGUGCCUAGCCUAUUGGAUAUCACUGUCACCUACUCAGGACAGUCAUUACCUUUCUAUUAAUACUUUGUUUUUUAAUUUCACAUUAAUUUCCAUAUUGUAUAAACAACUGGAAAAAACUUGAGCCCCUGCCCCUGUAUAAUCAUGUGCACGUCUCUGUUCUAGCUGUAAGGUGAAUCUUCACUGCUCAUGUUCUCCUCAGAAGCAGUCACCUCACUCCCCUCAGGUUACUGUACACAUGCACCAACUGCCUGCUUCAGGUUUGGAUGGAGCUUCAUGGUUGUCUUUUGGAGAAAUGACCAGUCAAGUUGUGUUUGAAAUUUGAUUUUUUUCAGGGGCAAAAGGAGCCUCUGCAUUCUUGUCAAAUAUGUAAAUAGCAUGUUUUUGCAGGUGCUAAAAACCAGACUCUGAGUGUGUGUGUGUGUGUGUGUGUGUGUGUGUGUGUGUGUGUGUGUGCGUGUGUGUGUGUCUGUGUGUGCGUUCAAGUCACAUGACAUAUUUAACCGGAUGUAGCUGCAAGACGGAGCCUCGUUGACUCUCCGUUUCAACUUAUCUCAAAAGUGAGGACCUCAACCUAUAUACCAGUUUUUAAAUUGUGUUGAUAGGCCAAAUAAAACCAGAGUUAUGAUAAAUUAUGUCCGCGAUACUUUUUUUCUGCUUAUUUUGAUCACGUUCGGCGCUCAAUCGCGCUGUAUGAGACAGGAAAACAUAGCAUGCAGACAUUAGCGACAGGUCUUACAGGCGGAAAAGGCUUGCCAAAAGAAAAAAAAAAACACACCACAACAUCUCUCCUAUUGGUGGAAAACUUCACCACAACAACCAAUCCAAAAUUAUAUGGUGACUGAUUGACAAGGGGCGGGCGCUUACGUUCUUCCUGCAAUAUGAGAAGGGAGGGAGGGACUCUCAGCAGGGAUGCAGUCUGGGACACGUAGUUGCAAACCUAGAGACUUUGUUGUUAGAUUCAAUGACUUUUCAGACCCCCUAACGACUUUUUUUUAGAAAGAAAGGGACUUUUAUCGACUUCUUCUGGAGUUUAGAGACUCUGACAUGAAGCAGGCUUUCCUUACUGAGGCGUUAGCAACGCUGCUAAGGGUGCAGAGCCACACAUGCGCUCAGAGCUCUGCAUGGGAGACUAAAGCUGACAGAGCUGCAGCAGUUAGCAGGUUUCACCCUCAGAGACCACCAGGGGUUCAUGUUGAGGCAUUUUAAUUUUUUUUUUUUUUGUGCCAUAGACACUGUCAGCACAAUCUGCAGUUACACUAACAAAAAUGCUGCAAAAAACAAAGAAUUAUGGAAAAAUUACACAUGGACUGACAUAGAGGAGGAUCUACACAAGUUUUUUACAUCAUGUUUUACAUCAUGCAUCAUUUACAUCAUGUUUUUUUGUAGUGGCAUAAAUAAAAAGUGACAUUUGUGAGACUAUACAGUGUUUUGUAAAUAAUUUUACAAAGAACGCCUGGGCCAUUGCCUGCAUUUUGAUGUAAAUAGAGGUAAAUUACUAUGUUCUUUGUUAAAAAUUUGCAUAUGUUUUGAAGUUUACAAUUUUUAUUUGAAGUUUAAGUUUUAAAAACAGUUCAUCACACAUAUUUGUGGUUUUCACAGUAAAAAUGUUACUUUUUUCCACUCGGAUUUUAUGUUUUGUGUGUGAAUUUGGGUCCAUUGUGUAAAUUCAGUAUGUCAACAUGAUAAAAUAACUGUAAAUUCGCACAGGUGAGGUUGUGCUGAAAAAAAUGAUACCAGGCAAGGCACGUGAUUGUCAAAUUUUGUGUCAAUAUGACAAAGCGUAUAGGCGUGAAUCUCAACAAUAUGUAUUUUCACCUUAGGGGACAAGAAAAAAUGGACAUUUUUCUCCUGCCAUGGGGGGCGCUCUUUUGGGGAGUAAAAAUUCCUUCACAAAUGUGUUGAUGGCUGGACAUUGCAUCAUCCUAGAAAACUUGGAGGCCAGUGAGGACAAAAAUAAAAAGUUAUAAGACUUUUAAAUAUGUGGAUUUUAGGGUUGUCUUUGGCGCCCCCUAGAACCUAAACCAUGGGGUGCAGCGUCAUGAUUUGAAUAACUUUUAAUGGCCAUGGGGUGUAGAUUGGCCUGAGCAAAUGUGGUGCCGGUGGACAGAAAGCCUUCGGAGGAGUUAGCGAAAUUCCAAUGUGUGUGGAUCGGCAAAAAAUGCGGAAUAACCCUUUAACCGUACAUUUGACAGAUACGCGCGCGUUGACUUUUUCGUAGAUCUUAUUGAGUUACAUGUGUGUGUCAAUUUUUGUGUCAUUUUGACAAAGCGUAAAGGCGUGACACUCAACAAUGUGUAUUUUCACCUUAGGGGACAAGAAAAAAUGGACUUUUUUCUCCUGCCAUGGGGGGGCGCUCUUUUGGGGAGUAAAAAUUCCUUCACAAAUGUGUUGAUGGCUGGACAUUGCAUCAUCCUAGAAAACUUGGAGGCCAGUGAGGACAAAAAUAAAAAGUUAUACGACUUUUAAAUAUGUGGAUUUUAGGGUUGUUUUUGGCGCCCCCUAGAACCUAAACCGUGGGGUGCAGCAUCAUGAUUUGAAUAACUUUUAAUGGCCAUGGGGUGUAGAUUGGCCUGAGCAAAUGUGGUGCCGGUGGACAGAAAGCCUUCGGAGGAGUUAGCGAAAUUCCAAUGUGUGCGGAUCGGCAAAAAAUGCGGAAUAACCCUUUAACCGUACAUUUGACAGAUACGCCCGCACUGACUUUUUUGUAGAUCUUAUUGAGAUACAUAUGUGUGUCAAUUUUUGUGUCAUUUUGACAAAGCGUAAAGGCGUGACAGUCAAUAGUGUGAAUUUUCACCUUAGGGGGCGCUAUGGAGCCAUUUUGCAUUUUCUUGUUUGGGCGACUUCGGAAUAUCAAAUUUUUCACCAGGCCCGGUCAUCCUGCCAAAUUUCAUGAGUUUUCGCCAGUGGGAAGUGGGCCAUUUUCCAGUUCAAAGGGGAGGAAAAAGAAGAAAGAAAGAAACAAAGAAAAACCUCUUGGGGAAUAAUAGGGCUCUCGCAGCUGCUUAGCAGCUACGCUCGGGCCCUAAUAACAAAAGAAGGAAACUACAGGAACAAGAGGGCUCUCGCAGCUGCUUAGCAGCUACGCUCGGGCCCUAAUAAUAACAAAAGAAGAAUCCAUCAGGAACAAGAGGGCUCUCGCAGCUGCUUAGCAGCUACGCUCGGGCCCUAACUAGGACCCCGUUGGGGCACUGGCGGGCCCGAGCCGUGUUGCGCCCCCCCCCCAACGUGCUGCCUCCCCGUCCCAUUUGUGUCCUCUGGCCAUCGCCCUCUCUGGUAACGCCCAUCACUGCAAAGACCCUUUUCCUUCAUCGGCGUUUGCUGUUCUUCCUGCCAGUGCGUGUUGCUUUCACUUACACUUGCCACAGCCAGCCUCGUGAGUGCCUAGCCUAUUGGAUAUCACUGUCACCUACACAGGACAGUCAUUACCUUUCUAUUAAUACUUUGUGUUUUAAUUUCACAUUAAUUUCCAUAUUGUAUAAACGACUGGAAAAAACUUGAGCCCCUGCCCCUGUAUAAUCAUGUGCAUGUCUCUGUUCUAGCUCCAAGGUGAAUCUUCACUGCUCAUGUUCUCCUCAGAAGCACUCACCUCACUCCCCUCAGGUUACUGUACACAUGCACCAACUGCCUGCUUCAGGUUUGGAUGGAGCUUCAUGGUUGUCUUUUGGAGAAAUGACCAGUCAAGUUGUGUUUGAAAUUUGAUUUUUUUCAGGGGCAAAAGGAGCCUCUGCAUUCUUGUCAAAUAUGUAAAUAGCAUGUUUUUGCAGGUGCUAAAAACCAGACUCUGAGUGUGUGUGUGUGUGUGUGUGUGUGUGUGUGUGUGUGUGUGUGUGUGUGUGUGCGUGUGUGUGUGUCUGUGUGUGCGUUCAAGUCACAUGACAUAUUUAACCGGAUGUAGCUGCAAGACGGAGCCUCGUUGACUCUCCGUUUCAACUUAUCUCAAAAGUGAGGACCUCAACCUAUAUACCAGUUUUUAAAUUGUGUUGAUAGGCCAAAUAAAACCAGAGUUAUGAUAAAUUAUGUCCGCGAUACUUUUUUUCUGCUUAUUUUGAUCACGUUCGGCGCUCAAUCGCGCUGUAUGAGACAGGAAAACAUAGCAUGCAGACAUUAGCGACAGCUCUUACAGGCGGAAAAGGCUUGCCAAAAGAAAAAAAAAACACACCACAACAUCUCUCCUAUUGGUGGAAAACUUCACCACAACAACCAAUCCAAAAUUAUAUGGUGACUGAUUGACAAGGGGCGGGCGCUUACGUUCUUCCUGCAACAUGAGAAGGGAGGGAGGGACUCUCAGCAGGGAUGCAGUCUGGGACACGUAGUUGCAAACCUAGCGACUUUGUUGUUAGAUUCAAUGACUUUUCAGACCCCCUAACGACUUUUUUUUAGAAAGAAAGGGACUUUUAUCGACUUCUUCUGGAGUUUAGAGACUCUGACAUGAAGCAGGCUUUCCUUACUGAGGAGUUAGCAACGCUGCUAAGGGUGCAGAGCCACACAUGCGCUCAGAGCUCUGCAUGGGAGACUGAAGCUGACAGAGCUGCAGCAGUUAGCAGGUUUCACCCUCAGAGACCACCAGGGGUUCAUGUUGAGGCAUUUUAAUUUUUUUUUUUUUUUGCCAUAGACACUGUCAGCACAAUCUGCAGUUACACUAACAAAAAUGCUGCAAAAAACAAAGAAUUAUGGAAAAAUUACACAUGGACUGACAUAGAGGAGGAUCUACACAAGUUUUUUACAUCAUGUUUUACAUCAUGCAUCAUUUACAUCAUGUUUUUUUGUAGUGGCAUAAAUAAAAAGUGACAUUUGUGAGACUAUACAGUGUUUUGUAAAUAAUUUUACAAAGAACGCCUGGGCCAUUGCCUGCAUUUUGAUGUAAAUAGAGGUAAAUCACUAUGUUCUUUGUUAAAAAUUUGCAUAUGUUUUGAAGUUUACAAUUUUUAUUUGAAGUUUAAGUUUUAAAAACAGUUCAUCACACAUAUUUGUGGUUUUCACAGUAAAAAUGUUACUUUUUUCCACUCGGAUUUUAUGUUUUGUGUGUGAAUUUGGGUCCAUUGUGUAAAUUCAGUAUGUCAACAUGAUAAAAUAACUGUAAAUUCGCACAGGUGAGGUUGUGCUGAAAAAAAUGAUACCAGGCAAGGCACGUGAUUGUCAAAUUUUGUGUCAAUAUGACAAAGCGUAUAGGCGUGAAUCUCAACAAUAUGUAUUUUCACCUUAAGGGACAAGAAAAAAUGGACUUUUUUCUCCUGCCAUGGGGGGACGCUCUUUUGGGGAGUAAAAAUUCCUUCACAAAUGUGUUGAUGGCUGGACAUUGCAUCAUCCUAGAAAACUUGGAGGCCAGUGAGGACAAAAAUAAAAAGUUAUAAGACUUUUAAAUAUGUGGAUUUUAGGGUUAUCUUUGGCGCCCCCUAGAACCUAAACCGUGGGGUGCAGCGUCAUGAUUUUGAUAACUUUUAAUGGCCAUGGGGUGUAGAUUGGCCUGAGCAAAUGUGGUGCCGGUGGAACGAAAGCCUUAGGAGGAGUUAGCCACAUUCCAAUGUGUGCGGAUCGGCAAAAAAUGCGGAAUAACCCUUUAACCGUACAUUUGACAGAUACGCGCGCAUUGACUUUUUCGUAGAUCUUAUUGAGUUACAUGUGUGUGUCAAUUUUUGUGUCAUUUUGACAAAGCGUAUAGGCGUGACACUCAACAAUGUGUAUUUUCACCUUAGGGGACAAGAAAAAAUGGACUUUUUUCUCCUGCCAUGGGGGGGCGCUCUUUUGGGGAGUAAAAAUUCCUUCACAAAUGUGUUGAUGGCUGGACAUUGCAUCAUCCUAGAAAACUUGGAGGCCAGUGAGGACAAAAAUAAAAAGUUAUAAGACUUUUAAAUAUGUGGAUUUUAGUGUUAUCUUUGGCGCCCCCUAGAACCUAAACCUUGGGGUGCAGCGUCAUGAUUUUGAUAACUUUUAAUGGCCACGGGGUGUAGAUUGGCCUGAGCAAAUGUGGUGCCGGUGGAACGAAAGCCUUCGGAGGAGUUAGCGAAAUUCCAAUGUGUGCGGAUCGGCAAAAAAUGCGAAAUAACCCUUUAACCGUACAUUUGACAGAUACGGCCGCACUGACUUUUUUGUAGAUCUUAUUGAGAUACAUAUGUGUGUCAAUUUUUGUGUCAAUAUGACAAAGCGUACAGGCGUGACAGUCAAUAGUGUGAAUUUCCACCUUAGGGGGCGCUAUGGAGCCAUUUUGCAUUUUAUUGUUUGGGCGACUUCAGAAUAUCGAAUUUUUCACCAGGCCCGGUCGUCCUGCCAAAUUUCAUGAGUUUUCGCCAGUGGGAAGUGGGCCAUUUUCCAGUUCAAAGGGGAGGAAAAAGAAGAAACUAGGGCCCCGUUGGGGCACUGGCGGGCCCGAGCCGCGUCGCGCCGCCCCCAGCGCGACCGCCUCCCCGUCCCAUUCGUGCCCUCUGGCCAUCGCCCUCUCUGGUGACGCCCAUCACUGCAAAGACCCUUUUCCUUCAUCGGUGUUUGCUGUUCUUCCUGCCAUUGCGUGUUGCUUUCACUUACACUUGCCACAGCCAGCCUCGUGAGUGCCUGGCCUGGUUUGACCUUUGCUCACCAUGAUUGUGUGACCUUGGUAUCAGCUACUUGGGAAGUUCAACCGUUGUGGCAAAGCUUUGUUUGCGUGCUGUGCUCAACCACCUAUUUUCUAUGGAUGUGUAAGUAAACCACUUUCUUUCUUACACAAUGACACACUCAUACUUAUCACUCACUGCUACUGAUGUGCUCUGUUAGUAUGCAUGCAGGAAACCUGAUGAAUGAAGAAAUGCCCAGACUAGCCAACAUCUCAAUAAAUUAUGAGGUAUGACAUCACUUGAAUGGUUUCCUUGGACUAUGCUUCCAUUAUUCUAAUUCUGUAAUAAAAAGAAAUUUUGUCCAAAAGGACUGUUGUUGUUUUUUCUUCUAAUAAUUAACAUAUUUAACAUAAUUAACAUUCAAUAUGCGCUCAUUACACACGUGCACACUCUUUGAUGAUCUGAGAAGCAGAGCUUAAAGGACAGUAGGAGUAGCUGAACAAAGUGUAUUUGUAGGAAAGCCGUAAGAGCUAUUGAAACGCCGUUUUCGCGGGUUGAAAGGUUAGGGUGUCCACCAAAGGUCAGAGGUCAAAUAACAUUUGUAUCUCAAACUGUGACGUCAAAGUCAAGGUCCAAAGAUGGUGUGCGCACCUGUCUUUGGUCAUUUCCCAUUAUAAUGAAUGGGAGGCACAGUUUCUACCAAAACGCUCGCUGCAGACAAACUACAUGUCCUAUUUGAAAAAACUCUGGACCAUGAGUGAGGGCACAAACACAGCUAGGACAUAUCCACAUGGCAAGUUGCUCCUCCUUUUGGUUUUAGCGGGAGAGCAAUGCGUUUGAGCCAUUAAGCGAUGGGCUGGAAAAACUUGACUUUUUCUCCUGCCAUGGGGGGGGGGGGGGGCGCUCUUUUGGGGAGAAAAAAUUCCUUCACAGAUGUGUUGAUGGCUGCACAUUGCAUCAACCUAGAAAAAUUGGAGGCCAGUGAGGACAAAAAUAAAAAGUUAUAAGACUUUUAAAAAUGUGGAUAUUUGGGUCAUCUUUGGCGCCCCCUAGAACCUAAACCGUGGGGUGCAGCGUCAUGAUUUGUACAACUUUGAAUGGCCAUGGGGUGUAGAUUGGCCUGAGCAAAUUUGGUGUCAGUAGAACGAAAGCCUUAGGAGGAGUUAGCCACAUUCCAAUGUGUGCGAAUCGGCAAAAAAUGCAAGAUAGCCCUUUAACCGUACAUUUUACAGAUAUGUGCCCAUUGACUUUUUCGUAGAUCUUAUUGAGAUACACGUGUGUGUCAAAUUUUGUGUCAAUAUGACAAAGCGUAUAGGCGUGACACUGAACAAUGUGUAUUUUCACCUUAGGGGACAAGAAAAAAUGGCCUUUUUUGUCCUGCCAUGGGGGGGCGCUGUUUUGGGGAGUAAAAAUUCCUUCACAAAUGUGUUGAUGGCUGGACAUUGCAUCAUCCUAGAAAACUUGGAGGCCAAUGAGGACAAAAAUAAAAAGUUAUAAGAUUUUUAAGAAUGUGGAUUUGUGGGUUAUCUUUGGCGCCCCCUAGAACGUAAACCGUGGGGUGCAGCGUCAUGAUUUGUACAACUUUCAAUGGCCAUGGGGUGUAGAUUGGCCUGAGCAAAUGUAGUGCUGGUGGAACGAAAGCCUUCGGAGGAGUUAGCGAAAUUCCAAUGUGUGCGGAACGGCAAAAAAUGCGAAAUAACCCUUUAACCGUACAUUUGACAGAUACGCCCGCACUGACUUUUUUGUAGAUCUUAUUGAGAUACAUGUGUGUGUCAAUUUUUGUGUCAAUAUGACAAAGCGUACAGACGUGACAGUCAAUAGUGUGAAUUUUCACCUUUGGGGGCGCUAUUGAGCCAUUUUGCAUUUUCUUGUUUGGGCGGCUUCAGAAUAUCGAAUUUUUCACCAGGCCCGGUCGUCCUGCCAAAUUUCAUGAGUUUUCGCCAGUGGGAAGUGGGCCAUUUUCCAGUUUAAAGCGGAGGAAAAAUAAUAACUAGGGCCCCGUUGGGGCACUGGCGGGCCCGAGCCGUGUCGCACCCCCCCCCCCCCCCCCAACGCGCUGCCUCCCCGUCCCAUUCGUGUCCUCUGGCCAUCGCCCUCUCUGGUAACGCCCAUCACUGCAAAGACCCUUUUCCUUCAUCGGCGUUUGCUGUUCUUCCUGCCAGUGUGUGUUGCUUUCACUUACACUUGCCACAGCCAGCCUCGUGAGUGCCUAGCCUAUUGGAUAUCACUGUCACCUACACAGGACAGUCAUACUUUGUUUUUUAAUUUCACAUUAAUUUCCAUAUUGUAUAAACGACUGGAAAAAACUUGAGCCCCUGCCCCUGUAUUAUCAUGUGCACGUCCCUGUUCUAGCUCCAAGGUGAAUCUUCACUGCUCAUGUUCUCCUCAGAAGCAGUCACCUCACUCCCCUCAGGUUACUGUACACAUGCACCAACUGCCUGCUUCAGGUUUGGAUGGAGCUUCAUGGUUGUCUUUUGGAGAAAUGAGCAGUCAAGUUGUGUUUGAAAUUUGAUUUUUUUCAGGGGCAAAAGGAAGCCUCUGCAUUCUUGUCAAAUAUGUAAAUAGCAUGUUUUUGCAGGUGCUAAAAAACAGACUCUGAGUGUGUGUGUGUGUGUGUGUGUGUGUGUGUGUGUGUGUGUGUGUGUGCGUGUGUGUCUGUGUGUGUGUGUGUGUGUAUCCUGCAGUACUCUGAGAAGAAUAAUAAGCAUAUUUCUGAGGUGAAUUUUGAAGAUUCAUCUGAGAGUUAGGUUUGAUUCGAUUCGAUUGACGCUCCCCAGCGUUCAAGUCACAUGACAUAUUUAACCGGAUGUAGCUGCAAGACGGAGCCUCGUUAACUCUCCGUUUCAACUUAUCUCAAAAGUGAGGACCUCAACCUAUAUACCAGUUUUUAAAUUGUGUUGAUAGGCCAAAUAAAACCAGAGUUAUGAUAAAUUAUGUCCGCGAUACUUUUUUUCUGCUUAUUUUGAUCACGUUCGGUGCUCGAUUGCGCUGUAUGAGACAGGAAAACAUAGCAUGCAGACAUUAGCGACAGGUCUUACAGGCGGAAAAGGCUUGCCAAAAGAAAAAAAAAAACACCACAACAUCUCUCCUAUUGGUGGAAAACUUCACCACAACAACCAAUCCAAAAUUAUAUGGUGACUGAUUGACAAGGGGCGGGCGCUUACGUUCUUCCUGCAAUAUGAGAAGGGAGGGAGGGACUCUCAGCAGGGAUGCAGUCUGGGACACGUAGUUGCAAACCUAGCGACUGUGUUGUUAGAUUCAAUUACUUUUCAGACCCCCUAACGACUUUUUUUUAGAAAGAAAGGGACUUUUAUCGACUUCUUCUGGAGUUUAGAGACUCUGACAUGAAGCAGGCUUUCCUUACUGAGGAGUUAGCAACGCUGCUAAGGGUGCAGAGCCACACAUGCGCUCCGAGCUCUGCAUGGGAGACUGAAGCUGACAGAGCUGCAGCAGUUAGCAGGUUUCACCCUCAGAGACCACCAGGGGUUCAUGUUGAGGCAUUUUCAGUUUUUGUUUUUUUUGCCAUAGACUGUCAGCACAAUCUGCAGUUACACUAACAAAAAUGCUGCAAAAAACAAAGAAUUAUGGAAAAAUUACACAUGGACUGACAUAGAGGAGGAUCUACACAAGUUUUUUACAUCAUGUUUUACAUCAUGCAUCAUUUACAUCAUGUUUUUUUGUAGUGGCAUAAAUAAAAAGUGACAUUUGUGAGACUAUACAGUGUUUUGUAAAUAAUUUUACAAAGAACGCCUGGGCCAUUGCCUGCAUUUUGAUGUAAAUAGAGGUAAAUUACUAUGUUCUUUGUUAAAAAUUUGCAUAUGUUUUGAAGUUUACAAUUUUUAUUUGAAGUUUAAGUUUUAAAAACAGUUCAUCACACAUAUUUGUGUUUUAAUUUCACAUUAAUUUCCAUAUUGUAUAAAUGACUGGAAAAAUCUUGAGCCCCUGCCCCUGUAUUAUCAUGUGCACGUCCCUGUUCUAGCUCCAAGGUGAAUCUUCACUGCUCAUGUUCUCCUCAGAAAUAGUCACCUCACUCCCCUCAGGUUACUGUACACAUGCACCAACUAUCUGCUUCAGGUUUGGAUGGAGCUUCAUGGUUGUCUUUUGGAGAAAUGAACAGUCAAGUUGUGUUUGAAAUCUGAUUUUUUUCAGGGGCAAAAGGAAGCCUCUGCAUUCUUGUCAAAUAUGUAAACAGCAUGUUUUUGCAGGUGCUAAAAAACAGACUCUGAGUGUGUGUGUGUGUGUGUGUGUGUGUGUGUGUGUGUGUGUGUGUGUGUGUGUGUGUGUGUGUGUAUCCUGCAGUACUCUGUACUCCUGCAGUGGCCAAAAAGACUUUUAAGAAUGUGGAUUUUUGGGUCAUCUUUGGCGCCCCCUAGAACUGCAGUACUCUGUACUCCUGCAGUGGCCAAAAUGACUUUUAAGAAUGUGGAUUUUUGGGUCAUCUUUGGCGCCCCCUAGAACGUAAACCGUGGGGUGCAGCGUCAUGAUUUUUACAACUUUGAAUGGCCAUAGGAUGUAGAUCGGCUUGAGCAAAUUUGGUGUUGGUGGGACGAAAGCCUUAGGAGGAGUUAGCGAAAUUCCAAUGUGUGCGGAUCGGGAAAAAAUGCGAAAUAGCCCUUUAACCAUACAUUAUACAGAUACGCGCUCUUUGACUUUUUCGUAGAUCUUAUUGAGAUACACGUGAUUGUCAAAUUUUGUGUCAAUAUGACAAAGCGUUCAGGCGUGACACUCUACAAUGUGUAUUUUCAUGUUAGGGGACAAGAAAAAAUGGACUUUUUUCACCUGCCAUGGGGGGGCGCUCUUUUGGGGAGUAAAAAUUCCUUCACAAAUGUGUUGAUGGCUGGACAUUGCAUCAUCCUAGAAAACUUGGAGGCCAGUGAGGACAAAAAUAAAAAGUUAUAAGACUUUUAAGAAUGUGGAUUUUUGGGUUAUCUUUGGCGCCCCCUAGAACGUAAACCGUGGGGUGCAGCGUCAUGAUUUGUACAACUUUUAAUGGCCAUGGGGUGUAGAUUGGCCUGAGCAAAUUUGGUGCCGGUGGAACGAAAGCCUUCGGAGGAGUUAGCGAAAUUCCAAUGUGUGCGGAUCGGCAAAAAAUGCAAAAUAGCCCUUUAACGGUACAUUUGACAGAUACGCCCGCACUGACUUUUUUGUAGGUCUUAUUGAGAUACACAUGUGUGUCAAAUUUUGUGUCAAUUUGACAAAGCGUACAGGCGUCAGGUGAAUUUUCACCAUAGGGGGCGCUAUGGAGCCAUUUUUCAUUUUUUUAUUUGGGCGACUUCAGAAUAUCAAAUUUUUCACCAGGCCCGGUCGUCCUGCCAAAUUUCCUGAGUUUUCGCCAGUGGGAAGUGGGCCAUUUUCCAGUUUAAAGCGGAGGAAAAAUAACGAAAGAAGAAUCCAUCAGGAACAAGAGGGCUCUCGCAGCUGCUUAGCAGCUACGCUCGGGCCCUAAUAACUAGGGCCCCGUUGGGGCACUGGCGGGCCCGAGCCGUGUCACGCCGCCCCCAGCGCGACCGCCUCCCCCACCCGAUCGCGUCACACUCAAGGUCCAAAGAUGGUGUGCGCACUUGUUUGUGGUCAUUUACCAUUAUAAUGAACGGGAGGCGCAGUUUCUACCAAAACGCUCGCUGCAGAAAAACUCCAUGUCCUAUUUGAAAAAAGUCUGGACCAUGAGUGAGGGCACAAACACAGCUAAGAUAUAUCCAAAUGGCAAGUUGCUCCUCCUUUCGCUUUUGCCGAGAGAGCAGUGCGUUUGAGCCAUUGAAUGAUGAACAGGAAAAACUUGACUUUAUUCUCCUGCCAUGGGGGGGCGCUCUUUUAACGAGAAAAAACUCCUUCACAAAUGUGUUGAUGGCUGGACAUUGCAUCAUCCUAGAAAACAUGGAGGCCAGUGAGGACAAAAAUAAAAAGUUAUAAGACUUUUAAGAAUGUGGAUUUUUGGGUUAUCUUUGGCGCCCCCUAGAACCUAAACCGUGGGGUGCAGCGUCAUGAUUUGAAUAACUUUUAAUGGCCAUGGGGUGUAGAUUGGCCUGAGCAAAUGUGGUGCCGGUGGAACGAAAGCCUUCGGAGGAGUUAGCGAAAUUCCAAUGUGUGCGAAUCUGCAAAAAAUGCGAAACCGUACAUUUUACAGAUACGUGGCCAUUGACUUUUUCGAAGAUCUUAUUGAAAUACACGUGUAUGUAAAAUUUUGUGUCAAUACGACAAAACAUACAGGCGUAGCACUCAACAAUGUGUAUUUUCACCUUAGUGGACAAGAAAAAAUGGACUUUUUUCUCCUGCCAUGGGUGGGGGGCGCUCUUUUGGCGAGUAAAAAUUCCUUCACAAAUGUGUUGAUGGCUGGACAUUGCAUCAUCCUAGAAAACUUGGAGGCCAGUGAGGACAAAAAUAAAAAGUUAUAAGACUUUUAAGAAUGUGGAUUUUUGGGUUAUCUUUGGCGCCCCCUAGAACGUAAACCGUGGGGUGCAGCGUCAUGAUUUGUACAACUUUUGAUGGCCAUGGGGUGUAGAUUGGCCUGAGCAAAUUUGGUGCCAGUGGAACGAAAGCCUUCGGAGGAGUUAGCGAAAUUCCAAUGUGUGCGGAUCGGCAAAAAAUGCGAAAUAGCCCUUUAACGGUACAUUUGACAGAUACGCCCGCACUGACUUUUUUGUAGGUCUUAUUGAGAUACACAUGUGUGUCAAAUUUUGUGUCAUUUUGACAAAGCGUACAGGCGUCAGGUGAAUUUUCACCAUAGGGGGCGCUAUGGAGCCAUUUUUCAUUUUUUUGUUUGGGCGACUUCAGAAUAUCGAAUUUUUCACCAGGCCCGGUCUUCCUGCCAAAUUUCCUGAGUUUUCACCAGUGGGAAGUGGGCCAUUUUCCAGUUUAAAGCGGAGGAAAAAUAAUAACUAGGACCCCGUUGGGGCACUGGCGGGCCCGAGCCGUGUCGCGUCCCCCCCCCCCCAACGUGCUGCCUCCCCGUCCCAUUUGUGUCCUCUGGCCAUCGCCCUCUCUGGUUACGCCCAUCACUGCAAAGACCCUUUUCCUUCAUCGGCGUUUGCUGUUCUUCUUGCCAGUGCGUGUUGCUUUCACUUACACUUGCCACAGCCAGCCUCGUGAGUGCCUAGCCUAUUGGAUAUCACUGUCACCUACACAGGACAGUCAUUACCUUUCUAUUAAUACUUUGUGUUUUAAUUUCACAUUAAUUUCCAUAUUGUAUAAACGACUGGAAAAAACUUGAGCCCCUGCCCCUGUAUAAUCAUGUGCACGUCCCUGUUCUAGCUCUAAGGUGAAUCUUCACUGCUCAUGUUCUCCUCAGAAUCAGUCACCUCACUCCCCUCAGGUUACUGUACACAUGCACCAACUGCCUGCUUCAGGUUUGGAUGGAGCUUCAUGGUUGUCUUUUGGAGAAAUGACCAGUCAAGUUGUGUUUGAAAUUUGAUUUUUUUCAGGGGCAAAAGGAGCCUCUGCAUUCUUGUCAAAUAUGUAAAUAGCAUGUUUUUGCAGGUGCUAAAAACCAGACUCUGAGUGUGUGUGUGUGUGUGUGCGUGUGUGUGUGUCUGUGUGUGCGUUCAAGUCACAUGACAUAUUUAACCGGAUGUAGCUGCAAGACGGAGCCUCGUUGACUCUCCGUUUCAACUUAUCUCAAAAGUGAGGACCUCAACCUAUAUACCAGUUUUUAAAUUGUGUUGAUAGGCCAAAUAAAACCAGAGUUAUGAUAAAUUAUGUCCGCGAUACUUUUUUUCUGCUUAUUUUGAUCACGUUCGGCGCUCGAUCGCGCUGUAUGAGACAGGAAAACAUAGCAUGCAGACAUUAGCGACAGGUCUUACAGGCGGAAAAGGCUUGCCAAAAGAAAAAAAAAACACACCACAACAUCUCUCCUAUUGGUGGAAAACUUCACCACAACAACCAAUCCAAAAUUAUAUGGUGACUGAUUGACAAGGGGCGGGUGCUUACGUUCUUCCUGCAACAUGAGAAGCGAGGGAGGGACUCUCAGCAGGGAUGCAGUCUGGGACACGUAGUUGCAAACCUAGCGACUUUGUUGUUAGAUUCAAUGACUUUUCAGACCCCCUAACGACUUUUUUUUUAGAAAGAAAGGGACUUUUAUCGACUUCUUCUGGAGUUUAGAGACUCUGACAUGAAGCAGGCUUUCCUUACUGAGGAGUUAGCAACGCUGCUAAGGGUGCAGAGCCACACAUGCGCUCAGAGCUCUGCAUGGGAGACUGAAGCUGACAGAGCUGCAGCAGUUAGCAGGUUUCACCCUCAGAGACCACCAGGGGUUCAUGUUGAGGCAUUUUAAUUUUUUUUUUUUUUGUGCCAUAGACACUGUCAGCACAAUCUGCAGUUACACUAACAAAAAUGCUGCAAAAAACAAAGAAUUAUGGAAAAAUUACACAUGGACUGACAUAGAGGAGGAUCUAGUUUUUUACAUCAUGUUUUACAUCAUGCAUCAUUUACAUCAUGUUUUUUUGUAGUGGCAUAAAUAAAAAGUGACAUUUGUGAGACUAUACAGUGUUUUGUAAAUAAUUUUACAAAGAACGCCUGGGCCAUUGCCUGCAUUUUGAUGUAAAUAGAGGUAAAUCACUAUGUUCUUUGUUAAAAAUUUGCAUAUGUUUUGAAGUUUACAAUUUUUAUUUGAAGUUUAAGUUUUAAAAACAGUUCAUCACACAUAUUUGUGGUUUUCACAGUAAAAAUGUUACUUUUUUCCACUCGGAUUUUAUGUUUUGUGUGUGAAUUUGGGUCCAUUGUGUAAAUUCAGUAUGUCAACAUGAUAAAAUAACUGUAAAUUCGCACAGGUGAGGUUGUGCUGAAAAAAAUGAUACCAGGCAAGGCACGUGAUUGUCAAAUUUUGUGUCAAUAUGACAAAGCGUAUAGGCGUGAAUCUCAACAAUAUGUAUUUUCACCUUAGGGGACAAGAAAAAAUUGACUUUUUUCUCCUGCCAUGGGGGGGCGCUCUUUUGGGGAGUAAAAAUUCCUUCACAAAUGUGUUGAUGGCUGGACAUUGCAUCAUCCUAGAAAACUUGGAGGCCAGUGAGGACAAAAAUAAAAAGUUACAAGACUUUUAAAUAUGUGGAUUUUAGGGUUAUCUUUGGCGCCCCCUAGAACCUAAACCGUGGGGUGCAGCGUCAUGAUUUUGAUAACUUUUAAUGGCCAUGGGGUGUAGAUUGGCCUGAGCAAAUGUGUUGCCGGUGGAACGAAAGCCUUAGGAGGAGUUAGCCACAUUCCAAUGUGUGCGGAUCGGCAAAAAAUGCGGAAUAACCCUUUAACCGUACAUUUGACAGAUACGCGCUCAUAGACUUUUUUGUAGAUCUUAUUGAGAUACAUGUGUGUGUCAAUUUUUGUGUCAUUUUGCCAAAGCGUAAAGGCGUGACAGUCAACAAUGUGUAUUUUCACCUUAGGGGUCAAGAAAAAAUGGACUUUUUUCUCCUGCCAUGGGGGGGCGCUCUUUUGGGGAGUAAAAAUUCCUUCACAGAUGUGUUGAUGGCUGGACAUUGCAUCAUCCUAGAAAACUUGGAGGCCAAUGAGGACAAAAAUAAAAAGUUAUAAGAUUUUUAAAUAUGUGGAUUUUAGGGUUAUCUUUGGCGCCCCCUAGAACCUAAACCGUGGGGUGCAGCGUCAUGAUUUGAAUAACUUUUAAUGGCCAUGGGGUGUAGAUUGGCCUGAGCAAAUGUGGUGCCGGUGGAACGAAAGCCUUCGGAGGAGUUAGCGAAAUUCCAAUGUGUGCAGAUCUGCAAAAAAUGCAAAAUAACCCAUUAACCGUACAUUUGACAGAUACGCCCGCACUGACUUUUUUGUAGAUCUUAUUGAGAUACAUGUGUGUGUCAAUUUUUGUGUCAAUAUGACAAAGCGUACAGCCGUGACAGUGAAUAGUGUGAAUUUUCACCUUAGGGGGCGCUAUGGAGCCAUUUUGCAUUUUAUUGUUUUGGCGACUUCAGAAUAUCAAAUUUUUCACCAGGCCCGGUCGUCCUGCCAAAUUUCAUGAGUUUUCGCCAGUGGGAAGUGGGCCAUUUUCCAGUUCAAAGGGGAGGAAAAAGAAAAAAGAAAGUAAGAAACAAAGAAAAACCACUUGGGGAAUAAUAGGGCCUACGCCCGGCUGCUCUGCAGCUGGCUCGGGCCCUAACGAAAGAAGGAAACAUGCAGGAACAAGAGGGCUCUCGCAGCUGCUUAGCAGUUACGCUCGGGCCCUAAUAACAAAAGAAGAAUCCAUCAGGAACAAGAGGGCUCUCGCAGCUGCUUAGCAGCUACGCUCGGGCCCUAAGAAAGAAAGAAAGAAAGAAAGAAAGAAACAAAGAAAAACCACUUGGGGAAUAAUAGGGCUCUCGCAGCUGCUUAGCAGCUACGCUCGGGCCCUAACUAGGACCCCGUUGGGGCACUGGCGGGCCCGAGCUGUGUCGCGUCCCCCCCCAACGCGCUGCCUCCCCGUCCCAUUUGUGUCCUCUGGCCAUCGCCCUCUCUGGUAACGCCCAUCACUGCAAAGACCCUUUUCCUUCAUCGGCGUUUGCUGUUCUUCCUGCCAGUGCGUGUUGCUUUCACUUACACUUGCCACAGCCAGCCUCGUGAGUGCCUAGCCUAUUGGAUAUCACUGUCACCUACACAGGACAGUCAUUACCUUUCUAUUAAUACUUUGUUUUUUAAUUUCACAUUAAUUUCCAUAUUGUAUAAACAACUGGAAAAAACUUGAGCCCCUGCCCCUGUAUAAUCAUGUGCAGGUCUCUGUUCUAGCUCUAAGGUGAAUCUUCACUGCUCAUGUUCUCCUCAGAAGCACUCACCUCACUCCCCUCAGGUUACUGUACACAUGCACCAACUGCCUGCUUCAGGUUUGGAUGGAGCUUCAUGGUUGUCUUUUGGAGAAAUGACCAGUCAAGUUGUGUUUGAAAUUUGAUUUUUUUCAGUAGCAAAAGGAGCCUCUGCAUUGUUGUCAAAUAUGUAAAUAGCAUGUUUUUGCAGGUGCUAAAAACCAGACUCUGAGUGUGUGUGUGUGUGUGUGUGCGUGUGUGUCUGUGUGUGUGUGUCUGUGUGUGCGUUCAAGUCACAUGACAUAUUUAACCGGAUGUAGCUGCAAGACGGAGCCUCGUUGACUCUCCGUUUCAACUUAUCUCAAAAGUGAGGACCUCAACCUAUAUACCAGUUUUUAAAUUGUGUUGAUAGGCCAAAUAAAACCAGAGUUAUGAUAAAUUAUGUCCGCGAUACUUUUUUUCUGCUUAUUUUGAUCACGUUCGGCGCUCGAUCGCGCUGUAUGAGACAGGAAAACAUAGCAUGCAGACAUUAGCGACAGGUCUUACAGGCGGAAAAGGUUUGCCAAAAGAAAAAAAAAAACACACCACAACAUCUCUCCUAUUGGUGGAAAACUUCACCACAACAACCAAUCCAAAAUUAUAUGGUGACUGAUUGACAAGGGGCGGGCGCUUACGUUCUUCCUGCAACAUGAGAAGGGAGGGAGGGACUCUCAGCAGGGAUGCAGUCUGGGACACGUAGUUGCAAACCUAGCGACUUUGUUGUUAGAUUCAAUGACUUUUCAGACCCCCUAACGACUUUUUUUUAGAAAGAAAGGGACUUUUAUCGACUUCUUCUGGAGUUUAGAGACUCUGACAUGAAGCAGGCUUUCCUUACUGAGGAGUUAGCAACGCUGCUAAGGGUGCAGAGCCACACAUGCGCUCAGAGCUCUGCAUGGGAGACUGAAGCUGACAGAGCUGCAGCAGUUAGCAGGUUUCACCCUCAGAGACCACCAGGGGUUCAUGUUGAGGCAUUUUAAUUUUUUUUUUUUUUUGUGCCAUAGACACUGUCAGCACAAUCUGCAGUUACACUAACAAAAAUGCUGCAAAAAACAAAGAAUUAUGGAAAAAUUACACAUGGACUGACAUAGAGGAGGAUCUACACAAGUUUUUUACAUCAUGUUUUACAUCAUGCAUCAUUUACAUCAUGUUUUUUUGUAGUGGCAUAAAUAAAAAGUGACAUUUGUGAGACUAUACAGUGUUUUGUAAAUAAUUUUACAAAGAACGCCUGGGCCAUUGCCUGCAUUUUGAUGUAAAUAGAGGUAAAUCACUAUGUUCUUUGUUAAAAAUUUGCAUAUGUUUUGAAGUUUACAAUUUUUAUUUGAAGUUUAAGUUUUAAAAACAGUUCAUCACACAUAUUUGUGGUUUUCACAGUAAAAAUGUUACUUUUUUCCACUCGGAUUUUAUGUUUUGUGUGUGAAUUUGGGUCCAUUGUGUAAAUUCAGUAUGUCAACAUGAUAAAAUAACUGUAAAUUCGCACAGGUGAGGUUGUGCUGAAAAAAAAUGAUACCAGGCAAGGCACGUGAUUGUCAAAUUUUGUGUCAAUAUGACAAAGCGUAUAGGCGUGACAUUCAACAAUGUGUAUUUUCGCCUUAGGGGACAAGAAAAAAUGGACUUUUUUCUCCUGCCAUGGGGGGGCGCUCUUUUGGGGAGUAAAAAUUCCUUCACAAAUGUGUUGAUGGCUGGACAUUGCAUCAUCCUAGAGAACUUGGAGGCCAGUGAGGACAAAAAUAAAAAGUUAUAAGACUUUUAAGACUGUGGAUUUUUGGGUUAUCUUUGGCGCCCCCUAGAACCUAAACCGUGGGGUGCAGCGUCAUGAUUUGUACAACUUUUAAUGGCCAUGGGUUGUAGAUUGGCCUGAGCAACUAUGGUGUCAGUGGGACGAAAGCCUUCGGAGGAGUUAGCGAAAUUCCAAUGUGUGCGAAUCGGCAAAAAAUGCAAAAUAGCCCUUUUACCGUACAUUAUACAGAUACGCGCUCUUUGACUUUUUCGUAGAUCUAAUUGAGAUACACAUGAUUGUCAAUUUUUGUGUCAAUAUGACAAAGAGUUCAGGCGUGACACUCAACAAUGUGUAUUUUCACCUUAGGGGACAAGAAAAAAUUGACUUUUUUCUCCUGCCAUGGGGGGGGCGCUCUUUUGGGGAGUAAAAAUUCCUUCACAAAUGUGUUGAUGGCUGGACAUUGCAUCAUCCUAGAAAACUUGGAGGCCAGUGAGGACAAAAAUAAAAAGUUAUAAGACUUUUAAAUAUUUGGAUUUUAGGGUUAUCUUUGGCGCCCCCUAGAACCUAAACCGUGGGGUGCAGCGUCAUGAUUUUUACAACUUUUAAUGGCCAUGGGGUGUAGAUUGGCCUGAGCAAAUUUGGUGCCGGUGGAACGAAAGCCUUCGGAGGAGUUAGCCACAUUCCAAUGUGUGCGGAUCGGCAAAAAAUGCGAAAUAAACCUUUAACCGUACAUUAUACAGAUACGCGCUCUUUGACUUUUUCGUAGAUCUUAUUGAGAUACACGUGUGUGUCAAUUUUUGUGUCAAUAUGACAAAGCGUUUAGGCGUGACACUCAACAAUGUGUAUUUUCAUGUUAGGGGACAAGAAAAACUUGACUUUUUUCUCCUGCCAUGGGGGGGCGCUCUUUUGGGGAGUAAAAAUUCCUUCACACAUGUGUUGAUGGCUGGACAUAGCAUCAUCCUAGAAAACUUGGAGGCCAGUGAGGACAAAAAUAAAAAGUUAUAAGACUUUUAAGAAUGUGGAUUUUUGGGUUAUCUUUGGCGCCCCCUAGAACAUAAACCGUGGGGUGCAGCGUCAUGAUUUGUACAACUUUUAAUGGCCAUGGGGUGUAGAUUGGCCUGAGCAAAUUUGGUGCCGGUGGAACGAAAGCCUUCGGAGGAGUUAGCCACAUUCCAAUGUGUGCGGAUCGGCAAAAAAUGCGAAAUAGCCCUUUAACCGUACAUUUGACAGAUACGCCCGCACUGACUUUUUUGUAGAUCUUAUUGAGAUACACAUGUGUGUCAAAUUUUGUGUCAUUUUGACAAAGCGUACAGGCGUCAGGUGAGUUUUCACCAUAGGGGGCGCUAUGGAGCCAUUUUUUAUUUUUUUGUUUGGGCGACUUCAGAAUAUCAAAUUUUUCACCAGGCCCGGUCGUCCUGCCAAAUUUCCUGAGUUUUCGCCAGUGGGAAGUGGGCCAUUUUCCAGUUUAAAGCGGAGGAAAAAUAACGAAAGAAGAAUCCAUCAGGAACAAGAGGGCUCUCGCAGCUGCUUAGCAGCUACGCUCGGGCCCUAACUAGGGCCCCGUUGGGGCACUGGCGGGCCCGAGCCGCGUCGCGCCGCCCCCAGCGCGACCGCCUCCCCGUCCCAUUCGUGCCCUCUGGCCAUCGCCCUCUCUGGUGACGCCCAUCACUGCAAAGACCCUUUUCCUUCAUCGGUGUUUGCUGUUCUUCCUGCCAUUGCGUGUUGCUUUCACUUACACUUGCCACAGCCAGCCUCGUGAGUGCCUGGCCUGGUUUGACCUUUGCUCACCAUGAUUGUGUGACCUUGGUAUCAGCUACUUGGGAAGUUCAACCGUUGUGGCAAAGCUUUGUUUGCGUGCUGUGCUCAACCACCUAUUUUCUAUGGAUGUGUAAGUAAACCACUUUCUUUCUUACACAAUGACACACUCAUACUUAUCACUCACUGCUACUGAUGUGCUCUGUUAGUAUGCAUGCAGGAAACCUGAUGAAUGAAGAAAUGCCCAGACUAGCCAACAUCUCAAUAAAUUAUGAGGUAUGACAUCACUUGAAUGGUUUCCUUGGAGUAUGCUUCCAUUAUUCUAAUUCUGUAAUAAAAAGAAAUUUUGUCCAAAAGGACUGUUGUUGUUUUUUCUUCUAAUAAUUAACAUAUUUAACAUAAUUAACAUUCAAUAUGCGCUCAUUACACACGUGCACACUCUUUGAUGAUCUGAGAAGCAGAGCUUAAAGGACAGUAGGAGUAGCUGAACAAAGUGUAUUUGUAGGAAAGCCGUAAGAGCUAUUGAAACGCCGUUUUCGCGGGUUGAAAGGUUAGGGUGUCCACCAAAGGUCAGAGGUCAGAUUACAUUUGUAUCUCAAACUGUGACGUCAAAGUCAAGGUCCAAAGAUGGUGUGCGCACCUGUCUUUGGUCAUUUCCCAUUAUAAUGAAUGGGAGGCACAGUUUCUACCAAAACACUCGCUGCAGACAAACUACAUGUCCUAUUUGAAAAAACUCUGGACCAUGAGUGAGGGCACAAACACAGCUAGGACAUAUCCAAAUGGCAAGUUGCUCCUCCUUUUGGUUUUAGCGGGAGAGCAAUGCGUUUGAGCCAUUAAGCGAUGGGCUGGAAAAACUUGACUUUUUCUCCUGCCAUGGGGGGGGGGGGGGGGCGCUCUUUUGGGGAGAAAAAAUUCCUUCACAGAUGUGUUGAUGGCUGCACAUUGCAUCAUCCUAGAAAACUUGGAGGCCAGUGAGGACAAAAAUAAAAAGUUAUAAGACUUUUAAAAAUGUGGAUAUUUGGGUCAUCUUUGGCGCCCCCUAGAACCUAAACCGUGGGGUGCAGCGUCAUGAUUUGUACAACUUUGAAUGGCCAUGGGGUGUAGAUUGGCCUGAGCAAAUUUGGUGUCAGUAGAACGAAAGCCUUAGGAGGAGUUAGCCACAUUCCAAUGUGUGCGAAUCGGCAAAAAAUGCAAGAUAGCCCUUUAACCGUACAUUUUACAGAUAUGUGCCCAUUGACUUUUUCGUAGAUCUUAUUGAGAUACACGUGUGUGUCAAAUUUUGUGUCAAUAUGACAAAGCGUAUAGGCGUGACACUGAACAAUGUGUAUUUUCACCUUAGGGGACAAGAAAAAAUGGCCUUGUUUGUCCUGCCAUGGGGGGGGCGCUGUUUUGGGGAGUAAAAAUUCCUUCACAAAUGUGUUGAUGGCUGGACAUUGCAUCAUCCUAGAAAACUUGGAGGCCAAUGAGGACAAAAAUAAAAAGUUAUAAGAUUUUUAAGAAUGUGGAUUUGUGGGUUAUCUUUGGCGCCCCCUAGAACGUAAACCGUGGGGUGCAGCGUCAUGAUUUGUACAACUUUGAAUGGCCAUGGGGUGUAGAUUGGCCUGAGCAAAUGUAGUGCCGGUGGAACGAAAGCCUUCGGAGGAGUUAGCGAAAUUCCAAUGUGUGCGGAACGGCAAAAAAUGCGAAAUAACCCUUUAACCGUACAUUUGACAGAUAUGUGCCCAUUGACUUUUUCGUAGAUCUUAUUGAGAUACACGUGUGUGUCAAAUUUUGUGUCAAUAUGACAAAGCGUAUAGGCGUGACACUGAACAAUGUGUAUUUUCACCUUAGGGGACAAGAAAAAAUGGCCUUGUUUGUCCUGCCAUGGGGGGGGGGGCGCUGUUUUGGGGAGUAAAAAUUCCUUCACAAAUGUGUUGAUGGCUGGACAUUGCAUCAUCCUAGAAAACUUGGAGGCCAAUGAGGACAAAAAUAAAGUUAUAAGAUUUUUAAGAAUGUGGAUUUGUGGGUUAUCUUUGGCGCCCCCUAGAACGUAAACCGUGGGGUGCAGCAUCAUGAUUUGUACAACUUUGAAUGGCCAUGGGGUGUAGAUUGGCCUGAGCAAAUGUAGUGCCGGUGGAACGAAAGCCUUCGGAGGAGUUAGCGAAAUUCCAAUGUGUGCGGAACGGCAAAAAAUGCGAAAUAACCCUUUAACCGUACAUUUGACAGAUACGCCCGCACUGACUUUUUUGUAGACCUUAUUGAGAUACAUGUGUGUGUCAAUUUUUGUGUCAAUAUGACAAAGCGUACAGGCGUGACAGUCAAUAGUGUGAAUUUUCACCUUAGGGGGCGCUAUGGAGCCAUUUUGCAUUUUCUUGUUUGGGCGACUUCAGAAUAUCGAAUUUUUCACCAGGCCCGGUCGUCCUGCCAAAUUUCAUGAGUUUUCGCCAGUGGGAAGUGGGCAAUUUUCCAGUUUAAAGCGGAGGAAAAAUAAUAAUAAUAACAAAAGAAGAAUCCAUCAGGAACAAGAGGGCUCUCGCAGCUGCUUAGCAGCUACGCUCGGGCCCUAACUAGGACCCCGUUGGGGCACUGGCGGGCCCGAGCCGUGUCGCCCCCCCCCCAACGUGCUGCCUCCCCGUCCCAUUUGUGUCCUCUGGCCAUCGCCCUCUCUGGUAACGCCCAUCACUGCAAAGACCCUUUUCCUUCAUCGGCGUUUGCUGUUCUUCCUGCCAGUGCGUGUUGCUUUCACUUACACUUGCCACAGCCAGCCUCGUGAGUGCCUAGCCUAUUCGAUAUCACUGUCACCUACACAGGACAGUCAUUACCUUUCUAUUAAUACUUUGUGUUUUAAUUUCACAUUAAUUUCCAUAUUGUAUAAACGACUGGAAAAAACUUGAGCCCCUGCCCCUGUAUAAUCAUGUGCAUGUCUCUGUUCUAGCUCCAAGGUGAAUCUUCACUGCUCAUGUUCUCCUCAGAAGCACUCACCUCACUCCCCUCAGGUUACUGUACACAUGCACCAACUGCCUGCUUCAGGUUUGGAUGGAGCUUCAUGGUUGUCUUUUGGAGAAAUGACCAGUCAAGUUGUGUUUGAAAUUUGAUUUUUUUCAGGGGCAAAAGGAGCCUCUGCAUUCUUGUCAAAUAUGUAAAUAGCAUGUUUUUGCAGGUGCUAAAAACCAGACUCUGAGUGUGUGUGUGUGUGUGUGUGUGUGUGUGUGUGUGUGUGUGCGUGUGUGUGUGUCUGUGUGUGCGUUCAAGUCACAUGACAUAUUUAACCGGAUGUAGCUGCAAGACGGAGCCUCGUUGACUCUCCGUUUCAACUUAUUUCAAAAGUGAGGACCUCAACCUAUAUACCAGUUUUUAAAUUGUGUUGAUAGGCCAAAUAAAACCAGAGUUAUGAUAAAUUAUGUCCGCGAUACUUUUUUUCUGCUUAUUUUGAUCACGUUCGGCGCUCGAUCGCGCUGUAUGAGACAGGAAAACAUAGCAUGCAGACAUUAGCGACAGGUCUUACAGGCGGAAAAGGCUUGCCAAAAGAAAAAAAAAACACACCACAACAUCUCUCCUAUUGGUGGAAAACUUCACCACAACAACCAAUCCAAAAUUAUAUGGUGACUGAUUGACAAGGGGCGGGCGCUUACGUUCUUCCUGCAACAUGAGAAGGGAGGGAGGGACUCUCAGCAGGGAUGCAGUCUGGGACACGUAGUUGCAAACCUAGCGACUUUGUUGUUAGAUUCAAUGACUUUUCAGACCCCCUAACGACUUUUUUUUAGAAAGAAAGGGACUUUUAUCGACUUCUUCUGGAGUUUAGAGACUCUGACAUGAAGCAGGCUUUCCUUACUGAGGAGUUAGCAACGCUGCUAAGGGUGCAGAGCCACACAUGCGCUCAGAGCUCUGCAUGGGAGACUGAAGCUGACAGAGCUGCAGCAGUUAGCAGGUUUCACCCUCAGAGACCACCAGGGGUUCAUGUUGAGGCAUUUUAAUUUUUUUUUUUUGUGCCAUAGACACUGUCAGCACAAUCUGCAGUUACACUAACAAAAAUGCUGCAAAAAACAAAGAAUUAUGGAAAAAUUACACAUGGACUGACAUAGAGGAGGAUCUACACAAGUUUUUUACAUCAUGUUUUACAUCAUGCAUCAUUUACAUCAUGUUUUUUUGUAGUGGCAUAAAUAAAAAGUGACAUUUGUGAGACUAUACAGUGUUUUGUAAAUAAUUUUACAAAGAACGCCUGGGCCAUUGCCUGCAUUUUGAUGUAAAUAGAGGUAAAUCACUAUGUUCUUUGUUAAAAAUUUGCAUAUGUUUUGAAGUUUACAAUUUUUAUUUGAAGUUUAAGUUUUGAAAACAGUUCAUCACACAUAUUUGUGGUUUUCACAGUAAAAAUGUUACUUUUUUCCACUCGGAUUUUAUGUUUUGUGUGUGAAUUUGGGUCCAUUGUGUAAAUUCAGUAUGUCAACAUGAUAAAAUAACUGUAAAUUCGCACAGGUGAGGUUGUGCUGAAAAAAAUGAUACCAGGCAAGGCACGUGAUUGUCAAAUUUUGUGUCAAUAUGACAAAGCGUAUAGGCGUGAAUCUCAACAAUAUGUAUUUUCACCUUAAGGGACAAGAAAAAAUGGACUUUUUUCUCCUGCCAUGGGGGGGCGCUCUUUUGGGGAGUAAAAAUUCCUUCACAAAUGUGUUGAUGGCUGGACAUUGCAUCAUCCUAGAAAACUUGGAGGCCAGUGAGGACAAAAAUAAAAAGUUAUAAGACUUUUAAAUAUGUGGAUUUUAGGGUUAUCUUUGGCGCCCCCUAGAACCUAAACCGUGGGGUGCAGCGUCAUGAUUUUGAUAAAUUUUAAUGGCCAUGGGGUGUAGAUUGGCCUGAGCAAAUGUGGUGCCGGUGGAACGAAAGCCUUAGGAGGAGUUAGCCACAUUCCAAUGUGUGCGAAUCGGCAAAAAAUGCGGAAUAACCCUUUAACCGUACAUUUGACAGAUACGCGCGCAUUGACUUUUUCGUAGAUCUUAUUGAGAUACAUGUGUGUGUCAAUUUUUGUGUCAAUUUGACAAAGCGUAUAGGCGUGACACUCAACAAUGUGUAUUUUCACCUUAGGGGACAAGAAAAAAUGGACUUUUUUCUCCUGCCAUGGGGGGGCGCUCUUUUGGGGAGUAAAAAUUCCUUCACAAAUGUGUUGAUGGCUGGACAUUGCAUCAUCCUAGAAAACUUGGAGGCCAGUGAGGACAAAAAUAAAAAGUUAUAAGACUUUUAAAUAUGUGGAUUUUAGUGUUAUCUUUGGCGCCCCCUAGAACCUAAACCUUGGGGUGCAGCGUCAUGAUUUUGAUAACUUUUAAUGGCCACGGGGUGUAGAUUGGCCUGAGCAAAUGUGGUGCCGGUGGAACGAAAGCCUUCGGAGGAGUUAGCGAAAUUCCAAUGUGUGCGGAUCGGAAAAAAAUGCGAAAUAACCCUUUAACCGUACAUUUGACAGAUACGGCCGCACUGACUUUUUUGUAGAUCUUAUUGAGAUACAUAUGUGUGUCAAUUUUUGUGUCAAUAUGACAAAGCGUACAGGCGUGACAGUCAAUAGUGUGAAUUUCCACCUUAGGGGGCGCUAUGGAGCCAUUUUGCAUUUUAUUGUUUGGGCGACUUCAGAAUAUCGAAUUUUUCACCAGGCCCGGUCGUCCUGCCAAAUUUCAUGAGUUUUCGCCAGUGGGAAGUGGGCCAUUUUCCAGUUCAAAGGGGAGGAAAAAGAAGAAAGAAAGAAAGAACUAGGGCCCCGGUGGGGCACUGUCGGGCCCGAGCCGCGUCGCGCCGCCCCCAGCGCGACCGCCUCCCCCUCCCGAUCGCGUCACACUCAAGGUCCAAAGAUGGUGUGCGCACUUGUCUGUGGUCAUUUCCCAUUAUAAUGAAUGGGAGGCGCAGUUUCUACCAAAACACUCGCUGCAGACAAACUACAUGUCCUAUUUGAAAAAAGUCUGGACCAUGAGUGAGGGCACAAACACAGCUAGGAUAUAUCCAAAUGGCAAGUUGCUCCUCCUUACGGUGUUGCUGGGAGAGCGAUGCGAUUGAGCCAUUGACCGAUGGGCAGGGUUAACUUGACUUUUUCUCCUGCCUUGGGGGGGGGGCGAUGUGGAUUCUUUUAAGAAUGUGGAUAUUUGGGUCAUCUUUGGCGCCCCCUAGAACGUAAACCGUGGGGAGCAGCGUCAUGAUUUCUACAACUUUGAAUGGCCAUGGGAUGUAGAUCGGCUUGAGCAAAUUUGGUGUUGGUGGGACGAAAGCCUUAGGAGGAGUUAGCCACAUUCCAAUGUGUGCUAAUCGGCAAAAAAUGCAAAAUAGCCCUUUAACCGUACAUUUUACAGAUACGCGCGCAUUGACUUUUUCGUAGAUCUUAUUGAGAUACAUGUGUGUGUCAAAUUUUGUGUCAAUAUGACAAAGCAUACAGGUAUGACAGUCAACAAUGUGUAUUUUCACCUUAUGGGACAAGAAAAAAUGGACUUUUUUCUCCUGCCAUGGGGGGGCGCUCUUUUGGGGAGUAAAAAUUCCUUCACAAAUGUGUUGAUGGCUGGACAUUGCAUCAUCCUAGAAAACUUGGAGGCCAGAGAGGACAAAAAUAAAAAGUUAUAAGACUUUUAAAUAUGUGGAUUUUAGGGUUAUCUUUGGCGCCCCCUAGAACCUAAACCGUGGGGUGCAGCGUCAUGAUUUGAAUAACUUUUAAUGGCCAUGGGGUGUAGAUUGGCCUGAGCAAAUGUGGUGCCGGUGGAACGAAAGCCUUCGGAGGAGUUAGCGAAAUUCCAAUGUGUGCGGAUCGGCAAAAAAUGCGCAAUAACCCUUUAACCGUACAUUUGACAGAUACGCCCGCACUGACUUUUUUGUAGAUCUUAUUGAGAUACAUGUGUGUGUCAAUUUUUGUGUAAUUUUGACAAAGCGUACAGGCGUGACAGUCAAUAGUGUGAAUUUUCACCUUAUGGGACAAGAAAAAAUGGACUUUUUUCUCCUGCCAUGGGGGGGCGCUCUUUUGGGGAGUAAAAAUUCCUUCACAAAUGUGUUGAUGGCUGGACAUUGCAUCAUCCUAGAAAACUUGGAGGCCAGUGAGGGCAAAAAUAAAAAGUUAUAAGACUUUUAAAUAUGUGGAUUUUAGGGUUAUCUUUGGCGCCCCCUAGAACCUAAACCGUGGGGUGCAGCGUCAUGAUUUGAAUAACUUUUAAUGGCCAUGGGGUGUAGAUUGGCCUGAGCAAAUGUGGUGCCGGUGGAACGAAAGCCUUCGGAGGAGUUAGCGAAAUUCCAAUGUGUGCGGAUCGGCAAAAAAUGCGCAAUAACCCUUUAACCGUACAUUUGACAGAUACGCCUGCACUGACUUUUUUGUAGAUCUUAUUGAGAUACAUGUGUGUGUCAAUUUUUGUGUAAUUUUGACAAAGCGUACAGGCGUCAGGUGAAUUUUUCACCUUAGGGGGCGCUAUGGAGCCAUUUUGCAUUGUAUUGUUUGGGCGACUUCAGAAUAUCGAAUUUUUCACCAGGCCCGGUCGUCCUGCCAAAUUUCCUGAGUUUUCGCCAGUGGGAAGUGGGCCAUUUUCCAGUUUAAAGGGGAGGAAAAAUAACUAGGGCCCCGGUGGGGCACUGUCGGGCCCGAGCCGCGUCGCGCCGCCCCCAGCGCGACCGCCUCCCCCUCCCGAUCGCGUCACACUCAAGGUCCAAAGAUGGUGUGCGCACUUGUCUGUGGUCAUUUAUCAUUAUAAUGAAUGGGAGGCGCAGUUUCUACCAAAACACUCACUGCAGACAAACUACAUGUCCUAUUUGAAAAAAGUCUGGACCAUGAGUGAGGGCACAAACACAGCUAGGAUAUAUCCAAAUGGCAGGUUGCUCCUCCUCCUUUUUCGUAGAUCUUAUUGAGAUACAUGUGUGUGUCAAUUUUUGUGUCAUUUUGACAAAGCGUACAGGUGUCACACUCAACAAUGUGAAUUUUCACCUUAGGGGACAAGAAAAAAAUGACUUUUUUCUCCUGCCAUGGGGGGGCGCUCUUUUGGGGAGUAAAAAUUCCUUCACAAAUGUGUUGAUGGCUGGACAUUGCAUCAUCCUAGAAAACUUGGAGGCCAGUGAGGACAAAAAUAAAAAGUUAUAAGACUUUUAAAUAUGUGGAUUUUAGGGUUAUAUUUGGCGCCCCCUAGAACCUAGACCGUGGGGUGCAGCAUCAUAAUUUGAAUAACUUUUAAUGGCCAUGGGGUGUAGAUUGGCCUGAGCAAAUGUGGUGCCGGUGGAACGAAAGCCUUCGGAGGAGUUAGCGAAAUUCCAAUGUGUGCGUAUUGGCCAAAAAAUGCGGAAUAACCCUUUAACCGUACAUUUGACAGAUACGCGCGCAUAGACUUUUUUGUAGAUCUUAUUGAGAUACAUGUGUGUGUCAAUUUUUGUGUCAUUUUGCCAAAGCAUACAGGCGUGACACUCAACAAUGUGUAUUUUCACCUUAGGGGACAAGAAAAAAUGGACUUUUUUCUCCUGCCAUGGGGGGGCGCUCUUUUGGGGAGUAAAAAUUCCUUCACAAAUGUGUUGAUGGCUGGACAUUGCAUCAUCCUAGAAAACUUGGAGGCCAGUGAGGACAAAAAUAAAAAGUUAUAAGACUUUUAAAUAUGUGGAUUUUAGGGUUAUUUUUGGCGCCCCCUAGAACCUAAACCGUGGGGUGCAGCUUCAUGAUUUGAAUAACUUUUAAUGGCCAUGGGGUGUAGAUUGGCCUGAGCAAAUGUGGUGCCGGUGGAACGAAAGCCUUCGGAGGAGUUAGCCACAUUCCAAUGUGUGCGGAUCGGCAAAAAAUGCGGAAUAACCCUUUAACCGUACAUUUGACAGAUACGCGCGCAUUGACUUUUUCGUAGAUCUUAUUGAGUUACAUGUGUGUGUCAAUUUUUGUGUCAUUUUGACAAAGCGUAUAGGCGUGACACUCAACAAUGUGUAUUUUCACCUUAGGGGACAAGAAAAAAUGGACUUUUUUCUUCUGCCAUGGGGGGGCGCUCUUUUGGGGAGUAAAAAUUCCUUCACAAAUGUGUUGAUGGCUGGACAUUGCAUCAUCCUAGAAAACUUGGAGGCCAGUGAGGACAAAAAUAAAAAGUUAUAAGACUUUUAAAUAUGUGGAUUUUAGUGUUAUCUUUGGCGCCCCCUAGGACCUAAACCUUGGGGUGCAGCGUCAUGAUUUUGAUAACUUUUAAUGGCCACGGGGUGUAGAUUGGCCUGAGCAAAUGUGGUGCCGGUGGAACGAAAGCCUUCGGAGGAGUUAGCGAAAUUCCAAUGUGUGCGGAUCUGCAAAAAAUGCGAAAUAACCCUUUAACCGUAAUUUUGACAGAUACGGCUGCACUGACUUUUUUGUAGAUCUUAUUGAGAUACAUAUGUGUGUCAAUUUUUGUGUCAAUAUGACAAAGCGUACAGGCGUGACAGUCAAUAGUGUGAAUUUCCACCUUAGGGGGCGCUAUGGAGCCAUUUUGCAUUUUAUUGUUUGGGCGACUUCAGAAUAUCGAAUUUUUCACCAGGCCCGGUCGUCCUGCCAAAUUUCAUGAGUUUUCGCCAGUGGGAAGUGGGCCAUUUUCCAGUUCAAAGGGGAGGAAAAAGAAGAAAGAAAGAAAGAACUAGGGCCCCGUUGGGGCACUGGCGGGCCCGAGCCGUGUCACGCCGCCCCAAGCGCGACCGCCUCCCCCACCCGAUCGCGUCACACUCAAGGUCCAAAGAUGGUGUGCGCACUUGUUUGUGGUCAUUUACCAUUAUAAUGAACGGGAGGCGCAGUUUCUACCAAAACGUUCGCUGCAGAAAAACUCCAUGUCCUAUUUGAAAAAAGUCUGGACCAUGAGUGAGGGCACAAACACAGCUAAGAUAUAUCCAAAUGGCAAGUUGCUCCUCCUUUCGCUUUUGCCGAGAGAGCAGUGCGUUUGAGCCAUUGAAUGAUGAACAGGAAAAACUUGACUUUAUUCUCCUGCCAUGGGGGGGGGCGCUCUUUUAACGAGAAAAAACUCCUUCACAAAUGUGUUGAUGGCUGGACAUUGCAUCAUCCUAGAAAACAUGGAGGCCAGUGAGGACAAAAAUAAAAAGUUAUAAGACUUUUAAAUAUGUGGAUUUUAGGGUUAUCUUUGGCGCCCCCUAGAACCUAAACCGUGGGGUGCAGCGUCAUGAUUUGAAUAACUUUUAAUGGCCAUGGGGUGUAGAUUGGCCUGAGCAAAUGUGGUGCCGGUGGAACGAAAGCCUUCGGAGGAGUUAGCGAAAUUCC